rnacentral:lncRNA from 1 species
CCUUAGAGAGAGAGAGAGAGAGAGAGAGAGAGAGAGAGAGAGAUGAAACAGUGUCCACAUUGAUGAGAAUUAAAGCAGAACGAGAGAAGUCAAAACAACUAACUUUUGAAGGUGAGCCAACCUCCGCAAAGCAAUUGCUGGUCUCCGUCUUAAACCCACUGAGAUAUAUAGGUAGAUGUUAAAUAAAGAUGGUGGUGACUACUCCCAGCUCGGUUUGGCAUCGAUCACCAUAAUGUUGAUGCUGAAGCUGCACCUAACUUGUUUCGAUUGUUUAGGAAGAACCGCUCAGCUUUAGAUGGCCACACCAACUGCUACCUGAAGAUGAUGUCUAUUUAUGAUGGCUUUAACUGCGAACAUAUCAGACGACCCAUAGUCAGAUGGAUUUGAAAGCAUUCUCCACAAUUAUCCUACCACUGUUAUAUAUAUAUAUAUAUAUAUAUAUAUAUAUAUAUAUAUAUAUAUAUAUGUUUAUUAGUGAAGAUUUCUUGGAAAUUCCAAGCUUUAUAAACAUGAUCCAUCCUGCAUUAUGUGUUUAUCAAUGAUUUAAGGAUAUUUUUGAAAUAGCCAUGAAACCGUCAUUAAUAAGCAUAUAAUGAAUGCUGGAGAAUGCUUCUAAAGCCUGAUGUGUGUGCGUGUGGUUACAACCAAGUUAAGUGAUAUAGUUCUUCACUUUAUCUACACACAAGAAUGAAGUACAAAGGGAUACAAUAGAUCUUUUGCCAAGACAGGCUCGUUACGGUUUUAACAUAAAGCAAAAGGCAUCAAACGAUUGUUUUACAAUAAAUAAAGAACAUAAAAGAAAAUGGGCAUCGGACUGGAAAAAUAGUAGCCAUGACUCAAAGAUUAGAUUGCGCAAAACCCUCAUUCAAUCAAUAGCUUCAAGUCAACAGCUGAAGAAAAAUCCUAGCAAAUUCCUUAAAUAGGAUAUGGAUACUGCCAGCAGCAGAUCCACUUCAAAUUAAAGCGCAAAUGCCAGUAGUAAGCUGCCACAUUUUUCUAAUGGGUCAGCUUUAUAUGAAGAUAGACUAUGAUGAGAAAAAAAAAGUAAAACGAGUGUUAUACAGACAGGAAAAAAAAAAAAAAACCAAAAUGCACUGCUCGCAUUGGCAUCCAAAAAAGAAAAUGAAACCACGUGUACCAAUUUGUGGGAAGUAGACUAAAUCCACAACUUGCAGUGAGUGAUCAAACAUCAAAAGUGGGAUAGGAUCCCAGGCCAUUGGCAACAGAGCUUGAAAACAGUGGAGGCGGUUGUUCUCCUGAGUGUGCCGACUUCCUAGGUCUCGGAUUCUUGGGUGAAGCUGAAUAUUGGGAGGUUAGAUCGUUGUUCCCUGCAUAAAAGGAUGAAGGAUGCACAUGUAUCUUUGGGAGACCAGUUGGAUCAGCAUCUAAUGUAUAGCCCUUCUCGAUAGACUCGGCUUCAAGUGGGAUCUCAUCUAUUGUCUGGCGACCAACAGGACCAAGAAACAAGGUAUCAGUACUUUGCUGAGAGCUAGUGUACAUUGCAAAUAAGUUGUUUUCAGAACCAUAGGUUUGUUCAAGGAGAAACAUACCUUAUAAGCCUGCUGCAAAACCCAGAGAGUUUCACGUAUACGUUUCCUUCUGGCAGUAAUGUCAUCAGGCUCCCUCAGCAGGUCUUCAAAUAGGUUUUCUCUGUUUGACAAGUUAGAUCCAAGUAUAAUUUUUGGUUCACAGCAUAAAGCAGCAUAUAGUUACCAUCCUAAUAAAACCAAAGGUAGGAGAAUAUUAAUAAAUUCACAACAUGAACCAAGUUGUUACCUGUAAAGCUUCCUGAUAAACACAUUAUGCAGCUCACGUUUUGUAUGAUUUACCUACACAAGAAACAAUAAGAAACCAGUUGCUCAACAAGAGAAAACACUAAACAAUGAUAACUAAAAGCCAACAGGUCUGCUGUAGGUAAUGUCAGACUUUCGGUGUCAUCACAAUCACCAGUUAGAUUAGCAUCAUAUCCAAAUAAUUUAGAAAAGAGAUGGCAUCAAGCAUCAGGCUCCUGCCAGCUAUUGGCUAUGGUAAUGGUCAACACACCAGCCUUACCACCGUAAGCAGAAAAUAAUGUCUAGCUUGAGCCUUGAUCACCAAGUUGCAGAUGAGCAACAUAACCAUUGUGCUAAGGCUAGCCAUCUUGUGACCCACAAGUAACUGCUAACACUAAGAAAGAUCAAAUCACGUAAUAUAAAGCUAGAGUGCCAUGGUUCUUAACUGAUUAAGCAACAUGUCCUCAGGGCUAUAUCAGGCCUGAGGCACUGCCUUACAGAUGGAAGAUAAUAACAUCAUGAAUUGAUUGUUUAAAAACAAAAGUGAUAGAUGUAUGAUACAAUCUUUCAGAAGUAUACAGAUGUAUUGAUUUUAAUCUCAGUUCGAUACUGGUUUUAUUAAUCUAAGGGACCACGUAGGUAGGAUAAUGUAUCAGACGAAAUACCAACCUGCACUACCCAAUACCAUUCAGUACAACAAUAACAACAAAGUCAUAAGUCUCAACUAUUUGGGGUCGGCUAUAUAGAUCUUUUGCAGAACCACCAUUGAGAUAUAUAAAAAAUCAUAUGUUUAAUUAAGUUUAGAAUAAUUAAAUCUUUAUUUACAAUUGCUAUUAAAGUAUUUUUAGGUCUUCCUCUAUUUCUUCUCGCACCACUAACAUUAAUCAUUUCACCUUUUCCGACUAUCGCAUCCGGAGGUCUUCUAACCAUAUGCCUAUACCAUCAUAAGUGAUCUUCUCUUAUCUUAUUCUCUAUCGAAGCAAUACCACUAAGUAAAGCAGUAAAAACAUUAAAAAAUAAUAUCACGAAUUGGUAUUGAGCUAUAAGCUCAAUAGCUAUAUACUUGGUCUAUGAUGAACGUUAUGAUCGAGAUUUAAAACCUUGAACAGAAGCAUCUAAAGAAGUAACCCUGAUACAACCGCUGACUAUGUGAAAAUAAUCAUGAUAAAAUAGAAUCCAAUUCACCACAAAAAUAAAUGCUAUUAUUACAACUCAUCAUUCCAGGGGAUUGCAUUAAAAAGAAAAUCGAAUAAACCAUGUUAACAUUCAAAGGACUUAUCUGAACUUCAAGCUUAUUAAUGCUAAAGGCCAAUUUUCUUCUCCAAUAGAAUAAAUGGUAUCAUGGUCGUGACCACAAGGAUAGGAUAUCUGUCUAAAUAAACUAUUCUUAUGUCGUGGACAAUUACUAUCGGUUACACCAGGUAAUCAGAUCGUUAGAUGGAUUGUAGUAGGCAGCUGAACACAACAUUAUCCGCUUGCCUUUUGGAGUCAAUUAUUCUACUCUUGUUUUGUUAUAAAGGGUGGUGCUUGGCCUUGGGAUUUGAAGACCAUCCUAAGUAACUGCAUCCUUUUCAUGAAUAGUUUGUUGGCUGCACUUACAAUUAGAUCAUGAAGGAGGCAAUAGUUUGGCUAGCCCAUCAUGCAGGUAGAAGUUUCUGGUGUAGCCUAUAAUUGGACGAUCAAGGAAUAUAUUUGCUUGUAUUGAAUAAAAACAUUUUUACUGUAGUAUUAGUGACUACAUUUAGGAAAGCAGGGCACUGACAGCAGAGCACAAAAACACUUCCCAAGUAAACUAACACCAAAUAUACAACUUCCACAUAGAAUGAGUGAUUCUUCACUACUAAACAUGUAAUGCUGUCAAAUUUAUCAGGAAGGCAUAGUGCAUCUUAAGUUCAAACAUGAUUAAUAUUCAUAAUUUGUAAGGUCAGAAGGACAUUAUUCUAGCAGAGAACAUAUUGAGAUAUUUUGCUGUUAGAUUUAUUCAUAAUUUUGCUUGGUUGUAGGACCCACUCAUGAGUUAAAGGCAUGUAGACUUAAAACAAAAGAACAUAGAUCAUAGUGUUGACAAACUAAAAGCAAACACCAUCUGACCCCUCAUAGCUAGAAUAUAGGAAAUUUACCAGGAAGUGCAUUAUUGCCUUCGGCACAGAGUCCUCAAUAUUCUUUCUCACAAUAUCAUAAUAUGAUUUCAGCAACAAUUUUGUGAUUGCUAUCUCCAGAGCCUCCUGCUCAGUCUGAUUCUCUGAGGGUUUCAAGAUUAUUGGUGGCUGAAAAAUGACAAAUUCAGUUACAGAAAUGAUGCAGGUAAAUGGAUAAGCAAAUGAAAGCAAUUCACAAACAUAGUUUCAAAAUACUUGCCUCUCUCAAUUGGAUCAUAGAGAGUGAAGUUUCAACAUUAUGAACAGGCAUGCCAUAAGGCUUGUUCACUGGAACCUCUUUCAAAGAUGGACGGUCUUCACUAACACCAAAAAUUGAUGAAACCCAGCUCGAUCCAGUCGUACUACCUGAUUCAUCUCAAAGUUAAAUGGUUACUGAAAACAUUUUGGUGAUAAACAAUUGCACAUGCACCAUGAGAAAAUUGAAUGAUGAAAUUAACUAUCGUUGACACUUGACAGGGAACAAGUAUUCCCCUUGGUCCUUGAACGACAUUACUAGUAUUAAGCUAUGAGGCUGAAAAACUGUGUUUAUCAUUCUCAAAAUCAGUUCCAACGUAUGUCAGGAUACAAAAUUUUAGAAUUGGUUCACUUCUAGUGGGCAACAUAUCAAAAAGAUAUUAAAAAAACAUUAUAAUUUUUAUAACAGUAUUUUUCUCACCAGAUGAACCUGGUCUGUCAGAAUCCCCAACAAUUCGAGCAUCCUAUUCGUCAUCAAUAAAAACAGGAAAGGAGAAUUAAACCAAUGUGAAAGCAUACACAAGACAUCAUAAGAACAUAUGCAUUAUAAUACCAAAAAAGGUAUUGAUAAACAACAGGGAUAAAGCAGUGACCUGAUGAUGAUCAGGAACAACUCCAUUUGCUCCAGAUUUGGCAAUGAUAGCACGAGAUUUUAGAUUCUUUACAGAAGCUUGCAGCUUAUCAGAAUCAACUCCAUCCUGUGUAUAAAAACAUAGAUUGGUUGUAGAUAUUCUGAUUCCAGAAUACCAGGAUACAGAAGAGAAACAGUUGCAAUUUUCAUUUACUCUCUUUGGCCCAAACCCCAAGGUAAUGGAAACAAAAAUAGAAUCAGACUAAUGAUGAGCCAGGGUUUCACUACAUUUUGCACCUAUGCCUCACCUUUUUUACUACCAACAAAAGUGGAAAGCAAAGGCUUACCCAGAUUCUAAAAUUCAUGUCAUUUAUAAAUAAAAUUUAAAAAAGAAGUUAUUCCAAUAGCAUCAUCAAACAAGUCGGAUAAUCUGUUAGCUAAUGAGCAACUCAAGACAUUGUGGAUAGACAAUAUGCUAUUAUGCAUCUAUUUUUGAACUUAAUCUAAUUAUUCACAAUAUAAUAUGACUAUGCCUGUACCCAUCCCAAGGAUUUAGAAGAUGUAAGUAGGAACAGAAACUUGCUCGACAAUCUACUUCUGCAUUGAUUUUUUCUUAAAAAAAAAACUUUUGAUUGAAACAAUAAACAAGCAUUAGAAUUUAUUAAAAAAUACAAGCUAAGUUUCUCACAUAAAUUUAUAGAUUAUGAUCCUAAAGUUACCCUUCCCCCUAAACUCUGAAGAAAACCUUUAUGAAUGUCAAUAUGAAAUCUAAAAGCUGAGCAACACCAAUAGAUUAUGGGUGCUAAUAAGAAGGCACCAACAUGUUAUCUGACAACUUAAAAAUGAAAGGAUCAAGUCCAACAAUAAUAAAUUUAGGAGAAAGAAAUCAAAAUGAACUUAAGUUAUAGCAGACGCCCAAACCAGCAAUCCGUGCCAUCAAGAUAAAUCAAUUGGAAAACCCUGUUCUACUCCAGGUUAGAUCAGUCUUUGUUAAUGAAUGCAAGUCACUCAAAAGAAAGUAGUAAUGAUAGCUGAAGUUUCAAACAGCCUCAGUCCAACAAAAUAAUAUAAUCAUUGACAAAAAUUGCUAUAAAAGAAAUUUUAGUUUCAAUAGUUGAUUGGUUAAUAUUGUUGGUUAAAGAAGCAUGACAGUUUUUUUAAUAACAUUAACUUGUUUAAAAGAAGCAGCCUUUGCUCCAACAAAUGCAGAUGUCAGCAAAAAGAAGAAAAUGAACAUGAUAAAUUUAGUCUAGAAUAUAAAAGCAAAUCUAUUAGAAAAAAAUGGUUGCACGUACACAAUAGAGGAACAUAUACCUUAGCUCUAGGUGCUGAUGCUGCCAACCUUGCAGAUUUGACUUGCUGCUGGGCGACUUCUACAGCCUUACUUCCACCAACAAAGUUUGGAUGAGAAGUGUUUAUAUAAUCCAUCUGGAAAACCAAUUAACCAACUCAACCCCGGUCAUACAAUCGAAACCCAAGAAGAACUUGGACAAGUGAAACUUCAGAAAAUAGAAUAACCUCAAAACAAAAAGGAUUUAUCUUGAUCACAUGAUAUUUAAAACUGAUAACCAAAGAAGUUGGUCGGUGCCAUGCUUGCACACAAAUAUUUGGCAAAUGGAUACAUGUUUGACAGAAAUGUAGAAAUGGAUGCAGGAUUCCAGGAAAAACAAGAGAUGCCAAGAAAAAUGUGCCUAUAUGAUUUAGCUGACUCUUCUGAAUAAUAAAAGAGAUGUUUCUAUCACUGGGUGUGUGAGCUAAAGAAUUGUUUAGCUGUAAUCAUGUACAUAUUUUAGAUUUCCUCAGACAGGGCACACUUUUACAUUACAUAACAAAGUCUGUUAUACCUUAAAAUUUUGAUCUAGAAAUUCACAAUGCAAUCCCUGGCCUUUAGACAUCACAAACUGUAAGCAUGUAAAAUAUGUUUACAAUACAUGUAUUAGAACAUAAUGCUCACAGGAUAUUAAAAAAUAAGUACGUAUAACAAGGGAAACUUUCCAACACAUCAAGCACAUGCACACACAAUAGGUUGACAUGAUAAGGUUUCAAAUUUUGCUGAUUCAAGCAAACAAUAAAUGCUUGACACCUGUAAGAGGCACCAUAGCACUAACCUGCACUGUUCAUCAAUGCAAAAAUAGAGGGGCAAAAAGAAAAAGCAUAGUUCACAUGUCAUGCAUGACAAAAGGAGAGCAGUCAUAUACCGUUGGUCAUGUAAGAGAGUUGCUUCCGAGCAAUUAGCAGCUUAGAUUUUUCUCUCUAAAGUAGAACAGAAAGAUGAUUCCAGAAUCAACAAGGCCCAACUUAUGGUGACUAGGCAACAGUGAGGCUCAGCACGACAUGUACAUGGGCCAAUGGGGACUAUAAUUUGUAAUGGUCUCUUACAAAAGGGAGCAUUGGGGUGUGCAUUAAGUUAUUUGACAAAAGACAGAUUAUAACUUUCAGUUCCGACACAAAGACCAGAAAGAACAUAACAAAAAUAAAAUGACAAAAUUUCUACUGAAGUACCAACCGUGCACCAUCGACUGCUGUACCGCUCGAAAUGGUAUGGUACAGGGGGUACAUAUCGGUCCGAGCAUGGGGUGAUACACGGACCACACCUGUUUCGUGCAGUCCAAUUAAAAUAAUAAAAAAAUAAAAAAGUGAUGGGUUUCUAUCUAAUUCAGGGUUAAAAAAGAGAAAAAAUCAAAUUACAGCUUGCGUCUUCUCGCAUACAGUGUCGCUGCCCUUGCUGCUUCCACUUCACUACUGCCACUGCGAUGUUGCCGCUUCACCACCGCCACUGCCGCUUCGAUGCUGGUUCCAGGUAUGCUGCCGUUGCUUCUUCUCCUCUUCUUUCUUUCUUCUUCUUUUUCUUCUUCUUCUUCUUCUUCUUCUUCUUCUUCUUCUUUCUUUUUCCUCCUCCACCGCUUCCUCUUUGUCCCAGGGUCUGCCGUACCGCCCGGUACGGGCGGUACGUACCGGUCCGACAGGUUUUCGGUACGUGGACCGACUGUUACCGGUCCGAGGUACUGUAUCACUGUAGCAGUGCUACAGUACUCGAUACACCCAGGUGUACCGCUCGGUAUACCGUACCGUACCGGUACCGAGCCCAAGUCGAAAUACCGGUACGAUACGGUAUUGCGAAUCUUGCUUUGUCCUUCUUCCUUCCUCCUCUGUUCCUCCAACACCCUUUCCUCUGAACCCUCUUUUUCUUCCUUGUCGAAACACCAGUAUGCACUGGCAUGCCGUGUGUCGGCACACCGGUACAGGCCAGUAUGUAUGGGUUUGAUAGAUUGAAGAAAUGGAUCCAGUACCCGAAAAGGCAAUCCUUGCUGUGCACAUUUUUUAAAGCCUUUUUAAUUCUCAAAUUGCCAAUAAUUCUACAGUUCAUUUCAGCCAUAUUAUAACUCCCAAUUUGGUAGAAGUUUGCAUCAAACUUUUGAAAAACAAGUCAGAUUAACUGGUUCAGAAAUGUCCCAGGAAUGAAUUGAAUGAACCAAAUAACCACCAUAGCUAAUAACAUUACAGCAUGAGCAGGAAAAUCACUAUAGAUAAAGGUCUACGUAUUUAGCAAUUAUACAUUCGGUGGCAAAACAAUAAGAGCCGAUGCUCUUAGAUUUUACAUAUUUCAAUGUUUCUGUAAGAACCAAGUCUUGCAGCAUUAGUUAACAAAUAUGAUAAUAUAUACAAGAAAGUUCGUCAAGAAGAUAAUACAAUCACACAUUCCUCAAUCAUGCUUUCCAUAAAUCUAUAACAGAUGUGCCAAGAAGAUGAAUCACAAGAAUAUGUUUUGGCAUUCCGCUGAUGCUUAAACGCUCAAAGAAAAAUGAUCGAAAUCAUGCUUUCCAUAAAUCUAUAACAGAUGUGCCAAGAAGAUGAAUCACAAAAAUAUGUUUUGGCAUUCCACUGAAGCAUAAAUGCUCAAAGAAAAAUGAUGAAAUCAACUCCAACAGACUUCAAAAAAAUGAAAAAUAUUAACAAAGGAACAUACACAUUAACAAAGGAGGCAUAGACUAGCUUGUCAAUGAUAACAUACCUUUAUAGUAGCAAGUCUCAGAUAAUUAUAGUACAUUUUCCAACCACCAAAUACAAACGAUUGCAUGCACCCAUAUGAUCUACCAUAUCCAUGAACAGAAGUUAACAAGAACCAAGCAAUCCACUUCCUAUAUCAGAAUACCCUAUUCUUAGCAGGUUAAUUAAUAAACUCAACUUGAGUCCUUGAUAGUGACAAUGGAGGUAGAUUCCUUGGGAAGCUUGCGUUCUCUAUGGUAUAUUCACGAUAUGCCUCAACUGUUGCCUUUGGCAUGUUUAGGGAUGAGUUCUUGUCGUCUAUGUUCCUUGUGGUCAUGUUAAGCUUAUUUAGUAUUGUGUGACUCAACCAAGUAGAAAUGGCCCAUUUUCUUGUCUUCUUAUUAAAUCCUAUAUACGAAAUCAGGCUUCAACCGAAAAAACUAAAAACAAGAAGUUUUACAUGACAAUGAUCCUUUUUUCCUUCAGUUAAUCCUCAACAAUAAUACGGCCCCUUUACUCUGACAUAAAGUAUGCAUGAUAAAGAUCAAAUACCAAAAAGAUCACUGGUGACAAUUUAAAAAAAGUGUAGCAAUUAGCAAAAACCAGUAGACAUGACGAAUUACUAGAUGAAUUUCGUUGCUUUUAUACAUAAUUACAAUCCAAUAUUUCAGUACCAUAAAAUAAAGAUUUAACUCGUACAUACGAUUUGACUGGCCAUCUGGAAUAACUUGGGGCUCAAGCAUUCUCUAGACAAUUCUGAAGUUUGUUCGACUUAGAUUAUUGGACUAGUGACUACUUUGAUUGUAACAUAAUGAUUAUGUACCCAAUGCUCCUGUGGGUUGUCAUAUCGGAGUACACGCAUUUUGAGGUUUUUUUGUGCACAAUAGGGGUUUCCAUGAUUAAUCCCAGAUAAGCAACCAAGGAAACAGAUCCUGGGUCUAAAUCAUUACACUGGUUUCCCUAAGUUAUCGGACAUCAAUUUAGUCAGAAUAAAGAUAUGAGAAAUGCAUACACCAGGAGCUAUCUUAGUCUUUUGCUUUAUGCAUUUCACAAGAGCUAAAUUCACACAUCAAAGCAACACAACAAAACUAAGAUAGUUUAUCUACCUCCAUCUCGAUGAUAUGAGUAAUCAUUGUCUCUGCAGGUUGAAGGCCUUCCCUUAAGAAGCUCCCAACUACCUCAUCCAUUGACUUUCGAAGGACAGGAAAACGCUGCAACUCACUAGCUAAACAACGGUGGCUCAUCUACAAUAACAUGAACAAUUAUUGGUAAUUAUAAGGCAAUCAAGUUAUUUUCCUAACAAUUUCAUGGUGUAUACCUUUAUUAGUUCAUCAUAGAUAAACUUUGCACACUGAAGACUUGGAUCUAGCAGACGACCUAUCUGCCUUCGAACUAAAACUUCAAAUGGCACCUAAUCAUGUAUUAUAGACAUAGAGAACCAGGGUUCAUCAAAAUGAAGAAGAUAUCUAAACUGCAGACUUAGUUGUAUUCAAUCUCACAAGAGCAUGUAACAUCAUUCAAGUCACUAUCACCUCUGGUACAAAGAGUGCACUUUUUGGACCAGUUGCAUUUUGAAUAGCCAUGCGGAUAUCUUCAUCAGUUACAUCCUCACAAGGAUCAACUUCCUACACAAACAUCAGAUGAUCAUCCAUAAUGUUGAACUACAAAAGGUAGAGGUUUGUGGGAGGGAAUCAAAAUACCCCUCCAAUUAUAGGACUCCUAAACCCAUGGAGAACACUAAGGAUAAGAAAGAAUCUUUCAGAUUUAAAUAACAGUGAUUUAUAGUUUUAUACAACUAGGGAUAAGAAAAUAUAAAAGGAAGAAUAUCAUGCACAUUAGAAAAAUGAUAAUGAAAUACACCUCUAAACUCUUCACAAAGAUAGACUGAAAUAUGUAAUGUAUACGAGCACCACCGGAUAGCUCAUCAGUUGACAAUUCUUCAUUCUUCCCUUCCACAAUAGAAGAGAAAGCUGCAAAAAACAUACCAUUAGUUAUGGCAACCUGCCUACAUUCACUGAAAAGGGCGCAUGCUUAGUCAGAAGCUAACAAGGCAUGUGAACUAAAGUACCAACAAACUAACUUUUGCAUGUUGAAGUAUGACAAACGAAAUCCAAAAGGGAGACCCAAUGCAAAAGGUUUCUUGCAACACGAUCUAGGAGGCUACACAUGCAACCUUACCCUUACAAGCAAAAGAGGCAUCCAAGACAAACUUGGAUCAUCACUGAGAUCACAUUCAAUCUAAGCCAUCCAGGUGAAUAUUACUAAAAUCCAAGAUUAUAGAAUUCUAAAGAUAUGCAAUCAUGCAAUAAAAAAAUUGAUCAGUCCAAGAAAGCAAAAGCAACUUAAGACACAAUAAACAAUUAUGAGACUACCGGCAUAAACACAAAUAAUUAAAUUUUAAAUAACACAAAAAUUCACUCCAAAGCAUUUCUCAUGCCAAAAAAAGCUCAAAAUUUUGAUAUUUAUUAAAUAGCUCCAAGCUGACCUUCACAAUAUUUUGUAAGAAUGUUCAACAGUUUAACCCCCAUUCCAGCCUGCAGUCAAAGUUACCUUACAGUCAGUUAUUUCAAGGAUAAUGUCGAGAAGGAAGAACAUGAAAAGACUAGAUAAACACCAAAUGAUAGCUGAAAUAAUACAGGAAAAUGUAUAUCGAAAAGUCGAUAUCAUAAGGUAUCAAAAUCCUGAGACAACCAGCAGCUGAGUUGCCACUAAUACUUAAGUUAAAUCAAGCUAAUCAUAUGCCACUAAAGAAUAAGUUGGGUCAAUUAGAGAUUUAAGCAGUCUCAACUUCUCAUAUUGGCUUUGCCUGUAAAAAUGAAUUAUCUUCAAGUAACACAGAUAAAAGAUAAAGAAAAAGUAACUAAGCAAACACAUGCAAUGAAAGGGCUAUACAUUUUAAGAAAAUGAGUGUAAGAACCCAUGAUUGUCGUUUUACUAGUAUCCAAUCAACUAUGUUUUUAAACACACGUGGUGUGGUAUGUCUCUCCAGUUCAUGGACUGAAGACCCAGAUUAGAGGUUGAACAACUAAAAGGGAGAUAUUGAGAUAUAACACCAAAAUUCGACAUGAACAUAUGAUGCUUGUAACAAUGGUAGAGAAACUGCAAGAAUACAAUAUAUUUUCAUCUACGGGUACCAAAUGUUUAUGUAUUUAUAUGUAAUGUACAUAUAUACAUAUUUACAAACCUUUGAUUCUGCUACAUCACCAUAGGCCGCAUGCUCCUUUGCAACAGCAACCAAUUGGGCAUUUAUGCGAGACUUCAACCCCGGAAGGACAUUCUUAAUGUGUUGUACUAAAAUCUGCAGAAAAGUUGGAAUAUAAUACAUCAGGUUUAGGCCACAAGAGGACAAAAGCCGAAUAUUCUGAAUAAUUGCUUGAAAUAGUGCAGGAAAAUUAAUCUUUAUGUAGCAAAAUACAUAUUGCUAAUUCUGUUCAAAUAUUUAUAAUCCCAACAAAAAGACACAUUUUAAUUGUAUACUAGCAAAAUUAUCAUUUGAACCACUUACCUGAUUCAGUUUCUUGGCUAACUGAGGAACCCCACAACAAUGAGAAAGGCCAUGAUAUGCCUGCAAACCACCAUAAUGUGUCAUUAUAUUUUUGAAAUGAAUAGCAUAUAGUGCAGAUCAAAUAUUGUCCUCGGAUACAACAUACAGGCUGUUUGCGGAAGAAGUUUUCUUCAAAUGCCAAUGCAUCUUUGAUACUACGAUUCAAGUUGAUGUCCUGCAUUUUCAAGAAAGUCAGCCAUAGCAAAAUCUGUUGUGGUCACUGAAACAAAGCAUAUUUACAAAGACAAAGGUAUCAGCAAAUAUGGAACAUCAACAGUGCUCUAAAGCCUAAACACAUGCUCAACAAAUAUCUAUUUGAAUAACAGAUCACAAGUGGCACUAUAAUAAGCAAUGUGAUAAAAUGCACUCGUCUCAAACAGACAAGUAUUUGUUGUAAUUGAAGCUAACCAUAAAGUUCUUUCACAACUGAUAGGAAAAAAUACUUAAAACAAAAAUGCUGAUUGGUCAACCCAUGCUAACUAGUCACCAUAUAUGUCAUUGGCUUUAAUCUAGAGAUUAAAACCGGAACCUAUUAAAUUUAUCCAACAACAAUCAUGAAAAAUUAGACCUAAAUAUAACCAUCUGUAUUCCAGUUUAGCUUUGCUUGGAGUAAAUUUAUAACAUAGCCCGAGAGCCUCAAGCCCUUCUGAAUAUCUUGCUUGGCAAUUCCUCUGACUUCCUGGAUCCUCUAACAUGUAAGGGCUCAUCUUCCAGCCCCCCCCCCAAAACCAAAAAGUAUGGGCUCAUCUUUACUUGGUUAUUUCUCCUUCCUGAAACCUCUAAAUCAAUUGACUAAGUUUCUUGUUGUGAGAACACUUAAAAGCCCAUAUUUAGACAUUUUUAGCAACCUCAGAUGAUUUUCCUCAUCACGUCUCACAAUAAAAAAGCUGCUGACAUAUGAUUCUUGAUUAGUUUUGACUCCCCAAGUAUACAACAUGUUCACAACAGAUGCACUUUGUAGUCAUGGUGCUUGCUUUGUUACUUGGAUAGUAUUAAGAUCAUGGUUCGCCUUACCAGUUUAUACCGAUGUACCGACCGACCAUCGAUACAGUAUAUACUGAACCAUACCAAAUACCGACACACGAUAUGGUGAGGCAUAAAGAUAAACCGGUGUAUACCACUCGAACUAGUUCUCUAUCAAACCGAUAUGUAUCACCCAUAUUGGACGGUACGUAGUGGUAUGGCGAACCAUGAUUAAGAUACCUCAAAUUAAAUGAUAAGUAGUUUCAUACAUAAUUUCCAUAACCAGAGAUAAGCAUGAAGGAAAAGCACAUAUUAUCCGGAAAAAUGAAAAUACCUGCUGACUACGAUUUACAAUACCCACAUAACCAAGUCGAAGUGGUAUCACAUUUCCUAACAAAAAGUUGCGUGCAUCGGUACCUCUGUCCAUUAUAUCCAACUGCAAAUAGAAGUAAUAAAGUUAGUGUCAUCACGGCAAAUAAUUAUAAUGCUAUUGUAAUUGUAAUUUACUAAAGUUCACAAAAUAAAACCUUUGUGAUGACACCAAUUGUGCGAGAACCUGCCAAAAUAAAAUUCAUUAUUGUGAAAUGGUAGAUUAGAUUUCAAACAUUCUGACAACGUGGAAUACUAGUCUACCAUGUUCUAGCCUCCAUAGAUAAAUAAUCGAUCAAAAAAACUUACCAUCUGGAUCUGCAAUUCUCGCCAUUUGAAGUGCAUCAGAAUUUGCCAAGUCUGCAUUUGCUGGUGAAACUGCUAAUAUAAUGCAUGUCUUAUGCUUGAUGUAAGACAAUAUCAUUGUUCUAAUUCUUGCCUCAAUAUCACUAGGUUGGUCACCAACCGGUACUUUAGUAAUUCCAGGUAAGUCAACAAGAGUGAUAUUCAGGACAUUUGGAGAAAAAAUCUUCAGACGAAUCUGCUUAUCAGAAACACCUUUGUUUCCCCCAGCUUCUCUUUCUGUUUCUGCCUAAAAUAAAUAACAUCAUUAUCAGAAAGUAUUGGCAAACAAUUGGGAGCAAAUUAUGGUUAGCAAGAAUGAGAAUUUCUCUACAAGACAUGAUUCUCUAGGAAAACUAAAGAUUCAAAAAGGACCAACAAGCAACACCAGUGGAUUGUAUGUCUGUGAGUUUAAUAAAUGCAUUUAGAACCUAGAUGACAAGGUGAAGACACCUCAUGACAUCAAUACAAGGAUCUAUUUAUCACCAGAGAUCAAAGUUUAAGACCUAUGUAGAUUCAAUAAGCCUAAAACCGUUGCAGAUUUAACAAAGUCACAUCUAGUUCUACGAAGAAAAUAUUUGCAACUCUAUAUGAAUCUUGUCGUGUUUGAGCCCAUCAUUGAGAUUCUAAAAAAAGCAUAAAGAUGUGUCUUGCGUAUCACCAAAGAAUAGAAUGCCAUCAGUUCAUAAUUUGUAGCAAGAAUGCAUGUAAAUUCUAAAUUAGGAAGAUUGAAACACACUGUUAUAUUCUAGAUUAAAUCAGCAUAUCAAUACUCAAAUAAUCAACAACUAAAAGGACACAUGUCAAAAUAACUAGCAAAGCGUACUAUCCAGAGUGCGCACUUCAAUUCCUAAAAGUUCCAAGCCAUAAGCAAGACACGGGAUGAUCAAUCCAGUAACUUUAAUAUCUAGUAAACCAAAAAAUGAAUGGCAAAAUUGCCAAGAAUAACAUAAAGGAAAGAAACAAUCUAAAACCCUCAAACAAAAUACAAAAACCCGAAGUACCUGGAUCUCCCGACGAAUCUCUGAGAAGUCGAAGAACUUCUGCCCGUUCAAGUGGAGGAAUUCCCCCCACUCCUCCCCUCCUUCGGCCGCAUCCGUUCUCCGCGGCCGGUGCACCAGCUGCAGCACCAGCGGCCGCCGCGUGCAAAUAUCCAAACCCCUGGGUAAGAAGUCCCGGCCCACCAACGCUUCAAGAACGCUCGACUUGCCGCUGCUCUGGCUCCCGACGACCGCCACCUGGGGGAGAUCGAUAGUGGACGAGCUCCCGAGUUGGGCGAAGAUGUCCUGGAGUUUGUUCACGAUAGGGAUGACGGUGUGUCCGAUCGGUCCCGCAGCAGGGGAUGGCGCGGCGUCGUCCGCCAUCGAAUCGUGCUCCGGCCCCCGGGAUCGGGAGGGUUUUGCGGCGGAUGCAGCGAGGGUUUUCCAAAACCCUAGUUGGAUUCCGCGGCGAAGGCGAAUUCCGAAGGCGAUUGAACGAGCGAGAAAGAGGGUGAAGUUCAAUAGGGUUUGAGCUCCGGAAUCUUUAAAAUCGGGUGACAAAAUGACCGAAAUAGAGUUCAUCAAUGGGCCUAUUUACGUAAUUUGAAUCGCAAAGUCCGUAAGGAAAAUAAAUUUUGAGAAGCCCUGACCGGGAGUCUUCAACUGGCACGGGAUUCGUGGGUAUAAGCUUGGAACAACGUAACUUGCAUACGAAACAUGUGCGACAAUUGUAUGCGAAAGAAUCAUAGCCGUUCAGUAGUAACAUCAAGGGUGAUCCUAUCACUAAUCGGCUGACUGUUCGUUCUGAUUCAAAUGGUCGGCUGGUACGGUUAUGCGGCCUAGCGGUUCCAAUUAAGUCACGUAACUGAAGGCCCAAUCAACCAAUUUCUCGAAGAUAUAAUGCUACAUAGCAAUAAUGUAAUUGUAUGGAUAAAAUUAAAAUAUAUAUGAUUAAAUUUAUACCUUAGACAUGUUAGUUGCAUGAAUUGGCAGAUUAGAUCGUAUGGAACGAGAAGAUAGACAGGAACUUUGAACUGUUUCGAAACAUGUUGCAACUUAAAUACGAGUAAAGAUCCAUCAAUAACAUAGUCCGGGGGUUAAUAACAAAUAAAGAUGCAUGCGAUGAAUCCCAGAUAAUUGAAACAUUGAAUCUUGUUGUUUUUACUUGCAUUAGUUAGAUGAUGAGACUAAUCAAUCAAUCAUUUUAUUUAUCAUAUAUCUGUUAUAGACCUUUCUAAAUUCAGGCCACCAUUCAUUAAGAAGCCUCUCAAAAUUCGUAAGACACUUGUCACAAUAAGAUAACUUUCUAAAAAGUUGUGUUUUCACCAAAAUCAUCUGUAGAUGAGUAGAAAACAUAUAUUUAUAUUAGGAAGUAAAUGGCAUUGUUUAUUCAAGGAAGUACUACAAUUUAACUUGAUAAAAGUCGAAAGCUAUCCGAGGCUUUGGUAGAAUCAUCAAGGAAAACUCAAAUCCUCAAACCUUGAUACAUCUAAGGUAUCCUCUUGUAAUGUUUAUGAGAAUGAAACAUUUUUGAUUGACAAAUUAUGAAGAAAUGACAGAUGCUAUAUCAUCUUUUUUCUUUUUCACCUUGUAGGGGUAUACAAAAUGAAUUUCUAACAACUAAGAACAAUUAAGGUUACAAAUAGGAUCGUUUUCAUAAGUUAUAGCUCGAAAAAAAGGUUGAGAAAGCAGUUACAUCUGCCCAGCUGGGGAAGAAGCUCUUCAACUUUUUGGUAUCAUCAACGAGAUACUGAUCUAACACAGCAACAUCCAUCCUCAAAGCCUCCGAACUGUUGGCCUGCAGUUCAUGCAACACACUGACAAAUGUGAUUUUACAGAAAAUAUCAAGCAUGAGAACAUCCACAGUCCAUGCAACAAAUGGGAGUAGAUUAUUCGGACAAAUGUGAUUUUAGUUCAAAAAACAUCAAGCAUGCAUCCAAAGAUUGUGAAUCGAGAGGUCCAAGAAAAAAUCAAGCAUGAAGACUUCCAAAUUGGCCAGUAGAUGUGAAGAAAUGUACUGCUAAAAUACUCCACUUCAAAAUGCAAUUAAUACAAUUUGGGAUGCAACUGGUUCUAUUAGCAAAAUUUACUUCAAUGACGAGAAACAAUUGAGUAAAUUAAACCAUUACCUCUAGCCAGAAAGUCCAACUCUCAUUGCUACUUCCACUAAGUCUACAUAUAUAUGAUGGUGGGCCACCACUGAUUUUCUCCGGAGCUGGGGGCAAAAGAGGAAACAAAAAGGUCAGGUUACUGGAAGACAAUAAAUUCUAGAGGCAAAAGCUCGUUGAGAUUGACCUGGAAGCCUAUAAUCUGCAAAAGACCAAUUCGACAGCGGACCAGUAAUAUUCAGGACUGAAGCCCAGAUCUCACCCAAGGAGCUGUAACAGUUUUAAACAAACAAAUUUAUCUAAGCUAAACAAAGUAUUUCAGGUGACUACAUCUAUAGAUAUAUACACAUUAGAACAGUCAUCUUCAAAGUAACAAUCACCCUAAAUGAAGUUCCAAGUGUACUCUGCGGUGACCAGCCUCAGAAAUUGAUUUUGUGUUACGAACAGUUAAGUGUGGGAAGGAUGCAUAAUGCUUUAAGAUGCUAUCACCAUCUGCAGGAAAUUUCAAACUUCCAGAGAACAAGAACGACACUGGGAAUAGUGCCUGCGAUAUAAGGAAACAGUUAAGCAUUCGAAAUUGUAGAUGCAAGCUCAGUGUGCAACUUCCUACACAAAAAAUUAGUUACUAUUUAGGUUACUAGACACAUGCAGCUACAAACAUCCUUAUGAAAGACAUAGAUUUGGCAAGAAAAAUGGAAUAAAAAUCCUUCAACUAGUGAAGACCCAAGUAUGUCAUUUAAUUAAAUUUAGAAAGCUAGUAAGGCAAUUCAAUAUUAAGACGAUCAUUAUUCUCCUCAGAGUACUAGAAAAAUGGAAUAAAUGCAAUUACUGGUUUCCAAAAUUUACAUGAAAACCACGAACGCAAUUUCCAAAUCUUACAUUUUUUGUACUUGUCCUAGAAUGAGGGCAAGUAGAAGGUCAAAGUUUCACCCGACCAGGAUGACCAGUGUUCAAGUCACGGAUCUAUCAUUAAGAGGAAGGGUGGGGUAUCCUAACCCUUCUGAGACCUGGUAUAUAGGGGAACCUUAUGCAUUGGUUUUGUCCUUUACUUUUUACAUAAGACCAAGAUGGUGCAUUGGAUAUUCAUUAUUUUUACAAUGUUAUGAAUAAUGAUAUCUAAUGAGCAAGGAACAGGAGCCUGGAAGCUCAGUUGUGCAUCAAUUUGCAUACCAUAACCUUGCUAUCAUAUCACUUAAGAAAACAAUGAACAUAGGGUUCAUACAAAGAACUGGAGGGGAUCAAGCAUUGUUUGUUACUUCGUCGGUAUAAUACACCAGUGCAUCACAAUUCCUAUAAGAAAAUAUAAAGCAAAGAUUGCAAUUUUGGUCCAUAUCGGGGUAUUGAGCCAUGUUCGGUAUGAUAUGUACCAAGGCAUAUCGAUGGUAAAUCGGGGCGGUACACCCAAAAUCAUAAAAAAUAACUUCAAAAAUACCUUAAAAAAAAAAUAGAUUAGAGUUUUUAAGUUAGAAAUAAAUAUAAUUUUAGUAUAAUUUUAGCAAAAAUGAUGUAAAUUAGGAAAGAAUAGUGUCACUUGUCUUUUUCGGACUUUGAGGAGUAACUCUAUGGUAAGUUCAGGAUCGUCCUUCCAUUAAUAUUAAAUUUCUACAAAGAAAUUAGUUGAAUUAUUAGAUUAUUUUUUAUACAACUUAAAUUUUAUGAUUCCAAUGUAUUAAAUAAUCAAUUGAUGGAUAUACUUAGUUCUACCAUAAAAAAGAACGAUAGGACUCCACGAGCGGUGGAUCAGGGUCCUCGAUCUAAUGUAUCUGUAUAUUAAUAUAAUAUGUUUGUCAGACCCAAUCCUCAAAUUGAUCCCACGACAUAGUGUACUGAUACAUCGCAUGCCAUUAGUGCAUCAAUGUGGUGAUGGUCGUAGUCUAAUCGACGUGAACCACAGGUGUUCGAGGCAACUCCUGAGGAAAGGACGAAUGUGGCAUGUAUUGGUGUAGAGCACAGAGAAUGUCUGAACUUUUACAGCCGUUACUGAUCUGUUGUUCCAUAUCGUAGGGUCGUAUCAUUGUAUUGAUGCUCAAAGAAGUAUGACUAACUAUCACCGUACUGUUGUUAGUCGUAAAUUCUUCGUAAUACGACGGUUGUGAAUACGAUGAGCUUUGCUCUGCAUCUACAUCGUGUAGGUUCUAUCACAUCUGCUCAAAAUCAUCAACUGACUUCCCCUUCCCCUUCCAUGCAUAAACUUGACCAGUACCUUGUCGAGCUUCAAGAUCUAAAUCUUGGGUGGCAUGUAUAAAAUAUCGCUCCUCGGUCAAGGCAUUGCUAUCCACGUCGCUACCAUAUGUCUCUAGACCGAGCAGGUUGUUAAAUGAGAUUGCGAAGAUGUCUCAUUGCCUGACUCGAUUCUUUCGAAUGGUGCAUCUGAUGCUACUGCAUUCCCCUUUACCUUUGUAUGCUGGGCAGACGACUGUGACGAUUAGGUGUCUCUAGUUCCUUGAGCAAUCUAACUCGAUGUUAUGUGGCUCCUUCUGCCACAUUCUGACUCAAUGUUGUCUCAGCCCUUGACCGGUAGGUCGGUAACGAUCAGAUUUCGAUCGUUAUCGCCCGGUAGGUCAGUAACGAUCAGAUUUCGAUCGUUACCGCUCGGUAUAGACCCUGUAUCACUCGAUACAGGGUAAAGUGACCAGUACCGCCCAUACCAGGCGGUAUGCAUCGAUACAAUAAACCUUGAUAUAAAGCAUGAAUACUAAUGGCCGAUGCAAUUUUAUCUUAGCUCACAUUAUCAGCCACUAGAUACACAAUGGAUAAUUAGAAAUUAUGCCCAGAGAACAAUAUACAACUUGUAUUUACAAACAGAAUUAGAACUAGUUAAAAUCAUUGGUAUGCGAAGCAGAAGUCUGAAGUGCCAAUUCACUUACUAUCCAAGUGCUCCCAUCAGAAUGAUAAUUGCUGUUAAAGGAGAACUCUGAAUUGAUGUCUAACAUUUUUGAAGCUUCAGGUGAAUGCUUGAAGAGAAAAGCCAGUGAAUUGGAAUCAACUACAGAAAAAUCAUAUCUUGAAUCCACAACCUUGUCAGCACCUGUCAAAAUCCCCAAUAGAAAUAAAAAAGGAGAAACUAUGUACCAAUAGAAACAACUAAGGAAACUUAGGGAAACACAGGCAAGAUAUGGAUAAAGCAAUUAUGCAGAAAAGAAAAUUUGUGAAUUUUUUUUCAUUUUUGAUACUGACAUGAUCAUGGAUUUAACAUUUAAGUAUCACUAUACAUAAAUUGUACCGCAGAGGUCCAAUGACCAACCUGUAUGUAACAUACUAUACCAUAUCAAAAGUAAUACCAACACCAACUUGUAUUUAUUCUUUUUUCAGUCGUCUAUAUCAAGGUAUAUUGUAUCACACCAGUACUUGAGGAAACCAGCUUGGGUAACUGUCCAAGAUUCAAUUCCAUGUACAAAAUCAAUAACUAGGGUCCUCCACAUCCAACAAAUUCAUGGAAAGAGACUCUGAAAAAGGUUGUACUAAUGAAGAAAUAAAACAUCUCUGUAUACAGCCUUGUAACUGAGAUGCUUUUUCCUCUUUUUGAUACCAUAUUGCAACUCGAGAUCGAACUAUAAUUAGAAUCAAUAUUAACGAAUCACCACACACAACCAACUCUUCUACGGUCUUAUGCUAAAGGUAAUUCUAUACUUCUCUUUUCCUGUGACAACUAAUGAAACAAAAGGGAAGAAUAUAAAAUGGUACUGUGAUACCUCAAGGUCUAAAGGUCAAAAGAUGUAACUUCCAGUUUAUAACUAGUUCUACAUAUUUUCUACAGCAGCAAGAUCAAGCUGAUUUCCAAUUCCCAUACCACUGUUGCACUACCAAUAUCUGCACAAUGGGAUGAAAACCAAGAAUUACAAUAACAAAAGAACGAAGUGGGAGGAAACUGAAGCAAAGGGCGGAUUGUAAUUGGCAAUGAUUACCACAUAAGAAAUGAUCCAGACACCUCAGUUUCUCAAGGCCAUAUAUCUCGAUAAGAUUUUAAUUCUGAAGGUUGAGAGAUUGGGAGAAGUGCACGAUGGGAUGAAAUUCAAGCAAAGGAGGGAAGAUUUUAAAAUGGGAUGAGUAUCCCAUCCAGCAUUGGCUCUGUUGUGCAGGGUUAUUCACCAAAGCUGUCAACCCGCCAAAGAACUACCUAGAGCCUGGGUCACCAAUCUUAAUUUCAACAAGGGUCAGAACUAAGAGGCAAUGACCACACGGACAUGAUGACCAUAGGAACAAUAGCGCACUGCCAUAAGGAGUUAGAAUGUAAUUUAUAUUUAAAGAUGAGAUUUAAAUCUUGCUGUUGUUAUUGAGCACAAAUGGAAACAAGUCAACAAAAUACAAAUUUACAUGGUCAUAGAUGAAAACAGCUAAAUCAAAUUUAUCAUAAUCAGACCAAUGUGUUGAAUCUCAAAGAACAAAUUGGCAGAUGUUUGAGGCUAUAGAGUUCCUAGUGUAAUAAAAAGUUGUCUAGUACAGACAAAUGUCCAACAGAAGAUAUCAUGGUCACCUAGUUAAAAGAUGUCUGGCAUAAAAAGAUACAUGUAACAGCAUACCGGCAGUAUUAAAUGUGUGUUGAAGCACAACCCUCUUUGGUGCAUCCAAACUGUAUGGAAAGAACUGUGAUGAUAGAGCCAGAGCGAUAAUAGUCACUUGCAUGAAGCAUUGCAAAAUGGAUGACCUGGCCAACCAAUGACCAACUACGGGCAUUAGUGGACCCAUGCACCACCCAGUCACCAGUCCAAUUGUAGCUGCAACUACAGCAUCCUGCACAAAAUAGCCUGCAUAAAAAUCACUUUAGCAUCAAACAGCUACUCAUUCUGUUUAUUGUAUAUUCAACAGACAGCUCAACUGCAUUAUGGAUAAACUUUUAAACAACUAUGCAAAUUGUCCAUGUUGUUAUCCCAAGAACAUCCUAAAAUAUAAUUACAAGGUUACAAUAAGAUUCACAUGUAGCUUAAUCAUAUCAACAAGCAUCAUACCAAAUAAUAAGGGAUCUUCACUACUUGAUCAUAGCAGUAAGUCAGCAUCCACAUGUAAUUGCAGUUUACUUCAGCAUCAAUGUUUUAUUAAGGGGAGCUCAGGCACUCGCCUAGGUGCCCAAGCAAGGCUACGAGCGCCUCUAGUUGGGUUCAGGCAAGCAAUAGGGCUAAGCAUGGCCCAGGCAUACCAGAGGCCCAAGCGCUAGGUGGCUCAAGUGCACGCUUGAGUUAAACAAGGUGUAUGGGUUUGAUUUGCAGUCAAAACAGAUGAUUUAGUUGAACCAAUUGAACAAACUGCAACACCUCUCAAGCCACCUCAAUGCGCUUCUAUGAAUGGGAAGAAACCCUAGCUAACAAUCGAAUCUUCCCGAUGAUUGCUAUCUAUGUUGCUUCCUUUGUCAACUGAAACUUCUCACUAGAAUCGAGACUCCGCCACCUAACAAAGCGACACUAUCCACCACGACCGCCUCCUUCCAUUGACAACCUUCUCUACCGACAUUGUCAGUGUUUGCAAUCUCAAACGCCAUCUCCUCCACCUAACGACUUCCUUCUCCGAUAUUCCUCUCCAUCAACAGUGCAAGCCCCCUCCUCUCGCUUCUCUCUCCGUUUUGGGCUCUCUCUCCCCUAGCCCUCCUCCCCCUUUUCUCCCCUGCCUCUCAAUCACCACCCACCACUUCUCUCUCCUACUCAUUAUAGAUGGUACAUUUAUCUUAGUGGUUAAACGUAUGUAAUUUAAUGUUUUAGUGAUGAUAUUUUGAAUAUGAAAUGACAUGAAACUCAUGUGUUAUCUCAUUUUUAUUUUAAUGAUUAUUUUUAUCCAGAAAUACAUUUUUAUCAUUUUAUAUUUGAUGAGCGCCUCCCUUCGCUCAAGCGAGCAUGCGUUUUGGAAGCUUGGCACCUUUUCAGGCCUAGCGACUUUAACAACAAUGUUCAGCAUAAGUAAGAAAUCCAAGCAUUAAGAACAACUUUAGCAUCAACUAUACUGCAACUCAUUUUUGUUUACUGUACUUUAACAGUUUACUGACAGCUAGACAAGUAUAAAAAAUUUUAACCAGCCAUGAAAAUUUGCUAUGCUAUUGGCCCAUGGCUAUUUUAAAGUAUAACCACAUAAAAUUAUAACAGGAUUCAAAUGUAGCUAAACCCAUACAAACAAGAAUAUUAGUGAAGAAUAAGAGAACUUUCCCCAACUUCAGCAUAGCAGUAAGCCAGUAACUACAUCCUUUUGAAGUGUUGUUCAGCAUAAGAAGAGCAUCAAAGCAUUAGGAACAAAAGAGACCUUAAGGAAGUAAAUUAUUCUGAGUACCAUUAAAUCUUAAUUCUGAUUUUUGUCAGAAUGAAUUGCUUGAAAACUUGGUCCUACUAAAAGAAGAACAGCUUUUAUUUUCAAUUGUGAAAGCGACUGGAUAGUGAAUGCAAGAAGAUAAUUAUCAAAAACAACUGUCUGGAAAUUUAUUCAAAAAAAGCGAUUGGCAUAAAAAAGACAUGUAAGAUAUAAAAAAAGAAGAGCAGAAAACUAACCAUAAGGCUGUGGAAGAGAGCCCAUCAUACCCAUCUUCUCAAUCAAAAAUUGGACAAGAAACCCACUGUAGUAAACACUGUAUAGAACGCAGGGGAUCAUAGGGACUACAUAUCCUGCUAAUGACCUGUAAGCAUAAGUACAUAAGAACAUGAUACUUGAAGAUAAACAUUCAUUUUUAUGCUAUAUGAAAAUGAAAACAAAUUACUAUCAUGUACACGGAAGAAUGACCACCAUAAGUUGCAUUAUCAACAGUUGCUAUAUAGAACUAUCUUGGAAACCAUGAAAUUUCAUGUAUGGUGGGAAAAUACCCAGAAAAUUGCUCCUUGCAUACUUUUUCAUGUAAAAAGAAACUUAGUGAUGGCACUAUAUGCUCAGUAAUUUGAACGUCUAAGAAUUUACAGGUUAAUCAUUUUCUACAGAAGAAUAUUUCUUAUUCUUAAAGUUGUGUUCCAAUGGGUUAAGACCAGUAACGAUCAUCAUUCUCUCAUUGAUGUUAUUAUUCCUUCAGGCUCAAUCUGAUUUGGAUCCAUGUGAAGAAUACAAUACAUGUCACAAUAAAUGUUAGUUCGACAUGUAUUAUUCCCUCUAGAAAUUUAGCUAGAUAUAAGAUCACUCUGCUUGUAGUCAUACCAAAGGAUAGCCUCCUUUACUGAAUCUCCGAAGCAUUGCCAGGAAGAUACAAGACAACAAUGCGGUCUUCUGAUGUGGCUAAACAUUUGUUUUAAAACUUAAUGCAUACCACUGCUGUGUUUUCUCCAUCAACAGUACGAUGAUCAGUUCAAAAUUUUUCUAGGACAGCUGUGAUACUCAAUGCAUCUCAACCACAGUGCUGUGCCUGGAUGGAGGUUUCUGUUGGCUCUUCAUUCAUUAUGCUUAUAAAAUGUGAUCUUCUUUUGCAAUAUUUUAUGUCCUUAUACCAAUUAUCUACCUUAUUUACCAAAAACUACUAUAUGACGUUGGUCAGUGCACCAAUCUGGCACACUUUUUUAUGAUCCCAUUUACUGGGAUGCACCUCUGUGCUUGCAGUCACCUUGAUCAGUUUCUUCUUUCCACCAACUACAAUACAACCAUAGCAAACAACUUAUUUCUCCCAAAGAUCAUCUCCAUCAUUAUCAAGCUUACUUACCUCUGUCCUUGGUUAGACUCUUCAAACUUCUUUAUACAUUUUCAUCAAUAGGUUAACCACAUAAAACAUAUGAUGCACUACAUCACUGGCAAUAUGAAGUGAUGUAACAUGUAUACUGCAUGGCCUUCCUCACUGGCAAUAUGAUCAAGCUGAUGCUCAGCGUAAACCUCAACAUCAUAGGCAAUUAGAGGAUAAAAACAGUGCCAUAUGUUUAGCCCAGAAGUUAUUUUACAAAGACUGGUGAAGUGGGAACCAGAACACAUUUUACUGUCCAAAGUGCAGACUGAAAGAAAAGAAAAGAAGAAAUCUGAAAUAUACACUGCAUUCAUGUGAUGUAAAAUGUGCAACAUUAGGUGCAAAGACAAUUCAAUAAGACCAUAGCAUGGCAGGCAAUGAUCUGAUGUCUUAACCAUUAAAGUGGAAAAAGAUAUGCUUCAUCUAUAUUUGCAAUUUAUUGACUUUUUAAGAUACUCUUACUUAUGAUGUUCGUUCGAUGGUGAUGUCAUGUGAAACAUAUUUGUUAACUACUUUUAGUUGGGCAAUGUCUUAGAGAAGUAGCAACGAUUUUAUGCAUAAGAGACAAGAAGUUGUCCCAAGUACUUCAGCAAAGUUAGGCAAAAAGCUGAACCACUGUACAAAAGCUUGCAUGUGUCAAGGGUGCAUAGAAAGUACUUGAUUGAUUGACGGCCACAACGCUUUCUCAUAAUGCAAUAAGCGAACCAAGCAAGCAGCAUAGACAAUGAUAUCAUACAUGUCAAGAAACCACCACCAAGCUGAGCUAGCAGAUAAACCUGCUCAAAAUAAAUGUUUCUUCUGUAUAAUUUGGCAUGAAUCUAAUAAAAAAUGCAUGCAGAUAACUGUAAGUCUGUGACAAUAAAUAACAUAAGCAAAAUUAAGCCAUGAAAUGAUUGCUGAAGACUAAUUAUGUAAAAGAAUGGCACAGUUGAGUAUAGCUAGAGGAGGUCCAAUCUUUUCUUUUUGCCAAGGUCCAAUCUAUAAUAGAGCAUAUACUACAAAAAGGUAUAGUGGGAAGCCAAAGUUCUUCACAUGCUUGCCUAAGAUGGUAUAACAACAAAAGCUGAAAAAAGUUUUGAAGUUAUCAUAUAACAUGAAACAAUAUGUGCUGCAUCUUUGAAAAAAUCAGAGGUAGUAUUAAUUGGAGAUAAUUUAAAGAAUAAUAAUUUAAGAAUAUUUGGAAAUGACAAAAAAAUCUAAAUAUACACUGCCAGAUCACAGAAGCUAAUUUAGACUAGCUCACAAGCAGUGCUAUGAGAAUUAGAGGAAGUACACAGAAGUCUUUGUUUGAAAUAAUAAAAAAGAUUGGCUUUAACUAGAUAGCGCUGUCUGAUGUUUCCCUUUACAAAGCAUAAGGAUUCUAGGAAAGGAUUCAUGCAGCUAAAUCCAACUAGUUGGGAACUUGUUAUUUUUGUGGUUGAUACACUUCCCUUAUUUAAUUAAUAUUUUAUAGAAGAGUUGACACAUGAAUCCGUCAAGUGUUGCUCCAAAAAGAAAGAAAUGUCCCAACAUAGGAUAUACAAAGCAAAUGUGACCCAUGUCAUAUAACUAGAAGUAACUAGCCAAUAGAACUUAAAAGGAUUGUCUUGACAGCUUGAACCAUAAUGGCAACUCCAUAAAUAUUAUGGAAACAUUGGAAAGUACAAGAUAAUAUCUUCAAAGGGUAAAUGACCAAAGCCAGCGUGUUUUAAAGUACAGGAUAAGAUAAAUAUCUAAACUUAGAGAUUAAAUAUUAAAGUCAGUAGAUGCACUAGCUGCACUGUAACAUUGUAAACAAACAACUUCUAGAAAGCGUCAACAUCAAAUAUAGGCAACGUACUUUAUAGUUUAUAGUACAACAUAAGAUAGAUAUCUAAAUCUAGAGAUCAAAUAUUAAAGUUAGUACAUGCACUAGCUGCACCAUAACUUCGUAAAGAAACAACUUCUAGAAAUGUUUUUAAACAAAAAGAUGGCUUCAUUAACAUAUAAGUCAAGUAAAUGCACCAGCUACAAUGUUGCCUUAUGAAACAAAACCAACUUGUGAAAAUAUAGUUAAAUAUUCCAAACCUAAUAUUACAAAUUUUAAACGAAAAGAUGACUCUAUCAUAGUAUGUCUAUAUGAAAUUUCAAAAGUUCACGUGGAAGCACCAAUAGUGUAACUUGAUUGAGUGUUCGGGUCUUAGAAGUAUCCAUGCAUAAAGUGAUGACCAUUGUCUUAAAAGAGUAAUUUGGAAUCAUGAUUGUGUUGUAUAGGUAGUAUUGUACUUCAUUCUAAAAGCACAAAUUCAAUAUUGAAUAUUGAGUUUCAAAUUAAUUUUGCAUAUAAUCCUCCAUGUAGUUUUUAAAAGGUGAUCCUUGUUGUUCUAAGAUGUUUAUUUGCAACUUGGGUGAUCAGAAAUAGUCAUAAACAACCCAUCUGCCUUCCCAGACCUAUACUGGCAGGAGCCUUGUGCAUUAGACUUGCUCAUUUUCCUUUUGAGUAGUUUAAAUAUAUAUACAGAAACAUAAAUUGAUAGUACAGCAGUACUACCACUCAUAUUUCCACUAUAUUUUACUGUAACAUGCCAAUGCUGUGGCUGAUGAAACAAUGGACCUCUCAGAUCUAGCUUGGGCCAUAAAACAGCUUUCCAUUAAUAAAGUGAUAUCCAAUAUAAAGCUUAAAGACAAGCUGAGGCAAUAAACUUUUAGUUGUCUGGUCACAUGAAAUGGCAUAGAUAUAGUAAGGAUAAAGCAGAAAGUCAUGGAGAUAAACCCCGUAUCAAUUUAUACCUUUGUGUGAACACAAAAAACUUACAGAGAGCACACGAACUACAAUCUCCGCAAGCUCGUAAGGGGCUGAUGCUCAAAUGUAACUGAACAUAUCCAGGUCUCAAAAGGUUUAUGAGCUCAAACAAGUAACAACUAACCACCAUAGCAUAGUGGCAUUAACUUUAGGUAGAAACUAGAAAUAUCUCAUACUGCAGUGUUGCCAGCUACCAGAAUAACUAAAGAUAUUAAUACAAGUUCAAAGCAACUAUCAGGCGGAUGAUAAGCAUCAAAAAGGAAGGAAUGAUAUCUUAAACAUAUGAUGUUCAACCAGAAUUUAUCUUUGUACAGAUGGAACAUAGAAAUCCGCACAAUUCUAUGCAUACAAAAUCAAGUUAUCAAGUCAAUUUCAAUCACCUAUGACAAAAGGGUCAAUAUUAAGACAUUCAACACUUAAACAAAUCAUCUUUACUUCUUUUUAACUUUCAUGGGGUACAAGAUGUUCAAGGAGAAAAUUUCAAUAGAUAUUCCAGCAACAAUCAGGUGAACAAAUGUUACUGAAUUGUCUCCACAUUACUACAUUUGCAAAUUGUAUAGAACCAAAUACUCAUGGAAAAAAGGUAUUUGCAUGGAGAUGGCAUAACUGAAAAAGGCAUGUAACAGAGUAAAAACCAAUAAACUUACCAUAGUUAUAAAAGUAUAUAGUCCAAAAGCUCCCCAAAAGCAUGCAUUAUCAGAUAGAACCUAACAAGUAAAUACAGAGCCAUUUAGUAUUUCAAACAAAAAAUAUUAAAUCACUGAACACUCCUUUGGCAACCUGUUUUUUUAUUACAACAUACAACAAAAUAAACAGAAUAGAUACCUUAUGUAAAAUAAAUAUAGGUCGCCUUCUAUCCUGCUUAGUACCAUUAAUCCUCUAAUCCUAAUUGUCUAAUUUCUUCUUACAACAUAGAAAUGUCUCGUUACCAUCUUAGACGAUUUUUUCUCAUUUUAUUCUUUAUCAGAGCCAUAACUAAUUUUUCAUGAAUGAAACAUUUCUUUUUUUUUUAGUAACUCCACACAUAUAUCUGAACAUUCUCAUCUCAAAUAACAAAUAAUUUUGUAUAUGUGGUUAACCAUCCAAUACUUAUAUUUGUAUAGUAUCACUAGCCAAACACCUAUGUUCUAAAUUUUCCGUUUAAUCUAAAUGGUGUCUACUGAUCAUACAAAACUCUACCAUUGUAGCUCUCCAUAUUCUCCACCCAAAGAAGGCUUAUUGACAUGUUCAUUUAAGAUACAACAGCACAAAAAUCCAAUUAUUAUGAACAUUUUUACGACUUCCAUGAGCUAAUUGCCAUUGCAUCUUAAUGCAUUACAAUGUAUUUUUGUCUAUAUCACAAUGAACAAUAAUGGUAAUACUGAAAACAUAGUUUGUAAAGUUAAAGGUUAGACUAAAUCCUGGACAUUGUUAAUCAAUCUCGAGAUGUUUAUGGCUCAAACUUCAAAGCCCUCAUCUUUAAUUCAAGGAUUAACAAAAACCAUGAUAUCUUGCACUUUAGAAAGAACCAUGAAAACAAAUGUUCAUUGGUCAUAGAAAAUGUUCCAGCAAUAAUAAAUAUGUUGCAAAUAAUAGAAAUACAAUAUCCAAUGGUAAUGUAGCCAAUGAGUCAACUUGAAAAUAUCAAGGUUCGUCAUACCAUGGCAUACCGCUCAAUAUGAGCGGUAUGUACCAAUCUGACAGGGGACCGAUACGGGCGAUAUAUCGGUAUGCUCCCAUGUACCAUGUAUUGGUAUACUCGAUACAGCUCAGUAAAGCUUGGUACGUACCAUACCGAUAGCUGGUCGGUACAUCGAUGCAGACCGAUAAGAUGAAUCAUAGAAAAUAUGUUAUCAAAACAUUGUCAAUUGUUGAGUUACCAACCAUAAUAAGUUUUGAUCUUUGCUAGAGAAUAAUACACAAGUUAGAAGAUUAAGUGGGUACACAAAUAUUUAAGUUUCUAGUAAUUAACUUCUAAAGGAUAGUAUCAUCAUGAGUGGAAAAAAUAUUGGGCCUUUAAGAAAAUAAGGGAAAAACAUAUACCACAUUUGAUACAUUGAGAUGUGACGCAUCUUGUGAAAGCGGAAAGAAUCCCCAUACAGUUCUUGGAAGCAACAGACCAACCAGUGAGCAUGGUACAAACAUCAAGAACGCCAAAAAAGGGUGAGCAAACCUAUAAAUUUCUCAUCAGUCCAUAUACCCAGCAAAAUUUCCACCAUAUUUAUAAUAUUUAAUAUUCUUAAGAGAAAUAAGAAUCAGAUAUUACAUUAUCCUACUUUUUAAAAAGAAAUUGAUAAAAUCAUCUUUGUAUAUGUUGAAAAAAACUACGGACUCAUAGUAGGAAAAUACCUUCUAUGUAAACAAGGGAUUCUAGAAUAUUUAUUUGUUGUAACAAGUAACAACGAACAACUACAAAAUACAACACAGUUUAAAGCAAGGUUCGCAAUACCGUACCGUACCGGUAUUUCGACCUGGGCUCGGUACCGGUACGGUAUGGUAUACCUGGGUGUACCGAGUACUGUAGCAAUACAGUAUGGUAUUUCAAACUGCUACAGUGCUACAGUAACUAUCCCUGCACUUCACAGGAGAGUGCCUGACAGCAAAUUCCUCAAAAGAACUUUGCAAAACAUCCUAGAUGAAAUAACCAAUCAACAGUCAUUUAAAUUAAGUUAUCAAUUGCUAUCUUACCUUUUAUCAAUGUUACGAUGCAGAAAAACAGCAGUUCACAAGGAAUGCUAGCUCAUAUGUAUUAAUAAUUACUUAGAAGGGCUUCUGAGAAACUUUGAUACUUCAAUCAAUAUUAUACAUAAGCUAGUUAGGACUAAAACACCACGUAAGAUACUGAAAAAUAGGAAAGUGAAGACAUUUUUGGAGACAGAAACGAUCCCUACCAAUUCAUCGCCUGGCUCGAGAAAAAUAAUCUCAACACAGCAAAUACAACUGGAAGAACAAUGGCAGAAACAAGACUAACAGCAUGAAACAAUGUCCCUGUAGAAAAGGAAAAAAGGUAAGUCAUAGACUAAUCUUUUAAAAAAUAUUUUUUUAAAAAUAUGACCAUGAAAAGCAUCGAUAACAUUGUAUAAAUUGCUAAAUUACAAAGCUAUAGUAUAACACAACAAGAGGGAAAAGAAAAUAUCCUACUGAAAGUUUAAAUCAAAUUGUGACAAAAAACCAGAAAUUGGUGCACAGACUUUGAUUAAAUGUAGUGUUGGUUGAUUAAAUACAUUAGAUUUACCAAUUCAAAAUUUUAUUAAUCUAUGCAUUUAGAAUGACUACUAACUUCUAUAACUAGGAGAUUGUACUAUCAAAUCAAAGCAUUGAAAAUGGUAACCUGAAUCUCCUAGAGGAUCUAUAAGUUGGAGAUACUAAUCUAUUUGGGUAACUUUACAUGAUUUUUGGAAAUAACCACAUAGAUAAACUCACUGCUCAACCUGAAUAAAAAAAUCAGACAUCGUUGGUGAUGCAAUUAGGUUUCCAACUGGUCCGUGUUUUGUUUAACUAGGUCUGGAUUGAGUGGUUAGGGUUAAAGUUCCAUUAGUUUAAGAUUUAAAAUUUAUAUGAUCAAUUCGUAGUUGAUUCUAGAGUUUAAUGACACAGGAGCAUUUCUAUGCCUUGAAUCAAGAGAACUCAGAAUAUUCACAUUAAGCUCUUGGUUCUCCAGUUAACCAAAAUUUUAGGACUUGUUUCAAAUAAAUUCUGAAAUUAAUACUGAGAUAUCUAUGUGGGAUAUUAUACCAUUUCAAAAUUCAAUGAGUUAGGAAUCCAAAGCAUCUUACAGGUUUCAAUGUAAAGUCUUUUAAUAGGAUGUUAUAUUCAUUUCUCUAUACCAUGGUUCACUUUAUAUGUUUGUACCGGUGUACCGACCGACAGUCGGUAUGGUACAUAUCGAACCAUACCGAUGUACCGACAGAUCGGUGGGGUGUACCAACAUAUCGAUAUGUAUCGUCCGUACCAGUCCCCUAUCGGACCGGUACAUACCGCCUUUUUUUAUAGGUCAUAGUGGCUAUACCACAUGUGAACUAUAAAAAAUUCUUCUCACUUUUUGGAGUUUCUAGGUGAUUUUUAGUUAUUAUAUAACUUUUUAAUUAGUUCUACAUGUAUUUUGAUCUCAAAAUGGUGAACAUUUAAUGCCCUGUGAAUCACCCAUGCUUGGAGGGUUGUUCCAAACCUACCUUGUAUAUCAUGUCUCAUAAGAUUUAGAGGAAUAAAGUGGUUUGAAUACAAGUAUAAUUUUAUUGAGAAUGAGACGUGUUUUCUUAUCAUUUUCAAGUUUGUAAGUCUUAGGUGGAUUCCUUGGAGGGUGACUUCAAGUCCUUUAUACUCGGUCAUGGGAUAUUUGUAUCCUUGGGUGUUUUACUUGAGUAUGCUAGUUUGUCUACCCUUUACUCCAUUCCACUUCUUUCUGCUUCCCUCUCUCCAUCUUAUCAUCAUGCUCAAAUAAAGUUAAAUUCUACAAACACUAUAUGCAACAUUUUGAUCAUUUUCCUGUUUUUCUCAUAUUUCUAACUUAAAACUAGUAGUGUGAUAUGUAAUUCUAUUCCAGGAUACGAAAUACUGAUUGGACAUGCACAACAUGACUGGUAUUUACUGGUCCUAGCCAAGUAUGAUAAGAGGACCAGGCCUUACUAAGCAAUAAGUCUCUCAUCCAAGCUCACUGCCCCAUAUUUCUCGAGUUCUCAACUUACCACCUGCUAUUUCAUAAAUAUUGAUCUCAUACUGGGCCCUAAGCCUACCACAUGGCAUAAGGCCCUUCCCUUUCAAAAGCCUAUUAAGAAGAUUCCUUGGAUGAAACCUUUGGUCAAAGCUCCCACCUCUCUAGUCUCUUCCUCGUCUUAAGUACUUUGCAGUGACACCGUCCCAUACUAUCUUUCACUCCAAUCCAUCCACAAUCGGGACAAAAUUUUUAAUUAGCAUUUAGAUUUUUUUGCAUUAAGAUACAAUGUCAUAAUAAUCUCACUUUCAGGCUAGAUCAAGCAUAGGUUAACUCAAAGAUAUCCUAGAUCUACAUGGACCAAGCAUAGAUUUGCUUGCAUCUCAUCUAGGUCUACUUGACUGCAUGCUUUAGUUGCAUGAAAUUAGUCUAACUAUACUUGAAGUUAGACUGGAUCCACGAGAUUCUAGGCUACACAUGCAAAUUUAGGUUAAAUAUGCAUGGAUAUAGGUGUAUACAUGUUGAGAUGGAGCUAAUUUCAAGUAUAUGAUGAUAGAGAGCACUGCCAAGAUUGAGUCUCUGAUAAAUGUUCAUCAUGGUCACCAUCCUGUAGCAUGAUUUUAUGGGUCGGAUUAUGACAAUGACAUUCUCAAAAUGUUCAAUCAAAGUGAACUUAAUGUAAUGAGCAAAAUGGUGCUUAAAAAUUGGUUCUUGCGUGGAUUCUACCAUCAGACCUUCCUCAACACAUCUAUCAAAUAAAGCACCACAUAAACGAAAAAUAUCGAGAACCUACAUGGGUUGAUAAUCUUAUCAAUAUGCGGUACAUCUACCAGCACAAAAUGUGAACUGUGAGCAACAACAUUCUUAUAUAGUAAAAAUAUAUCAAAUUGACUUCUGCCCGAAGGCAGCUCCCACGUCAACAUGACACAUUUUAGUAUUAGGAAAAAAGGAUAUGUAUGAUGUGGACACCAUUCGUUAAAACUCACCAAUAAUAUGCAUUGGCGAGAGCCUCAUAUACUGAGUUCACCCUUCUUAUAUUGUGGAUACCAAGAUUGUAAUUUUUUUAUUAUGUCUUAUAAUUGUACUUAUUUGUAAUGUUUGAAAUUUGAACUAGUGAUUUAAAAAGCGCUAGGCGCUCGCCUGAGCGAAGCGAUGUGCUAAAAUAUAAAAAUAUAUAAUAUAAUUAAUAAAUAUAAUUAUUUAAAUAAAAAUAUGAUAUUGAAUUAAAAAAAUCUUACAAAAUCAUAAUAUCACAUUAACAAAAAAUCUCAAAAUUCAAAAUAAUAACAAUAAUUUCAAAUAAAUAAAAAUUAGCAUUAUUAAAAUCAAAAUAAUAUAUUAUUAAUAUAAUAAAUAAAAAAAUAUUGUUACUAAUAUAAUGUUAAUAUACUGUUAACAGUAUACUAUCGAGUCAAUGUGAGAAGAGGGAGUAAGAGUAUCAGUAGCGGCGGCGGCGGGAGCGACGAUAGUGGCGAGCAACGACAACAGUGGCAAGCAGUGGUAGUGGCAGCGGUAGCGGUAGCGAGGGCGCAAUGUAAGAGUAAGACUGAGAUUGCUGACUGAGAGAAGCAGCAGCGGUAGCAACGAGCAACGGCAACAGGAGCGGCGAGAGUCGCAGUAGCAGCAGCAACAGUAGCAGCGGCAGCGGAGAGCAAUGACAACGAAGAGAGGCAACGACAGCGGAGAGAGGCGGCAGAGAAGAAAUGUCAACGAUAGAAUUGCGAGCAAGGUUAGGGUUAGAGAAGUCGCGAGAGGGAUGCUGAGAGUCUAAUAUUAGUGCUUUAGUUGGUUCGAUUGAACCAACUAAAGCACCGAAGAUCAAGCCAGACGUAAAACACUGGUUCAGUUGCCUGAUUUAACUCGGGCGCUCUCCCUAAGCGCUCGGCGCUUGGGCUCGGGCGAGCGCCCAGGCAGCACCUCUUUGAAGCGAGGUGCUCGAGCCUUGCCUCGCCUCGCCCAAACGCCUAGGCAAGCGCCCGAGCGCCUAUUGAAAUCGUUGGUUUGAACAUACAUCAUGUUACUGGUGUUCUGUGCUAAUUCUAGUGAUUUUAGUUACUUGUUAUGUUUUUCCCUGCAUGAGAUAACAUAUCACAAAAUUAUAAAAAAAAAAGAGGAAAUGGAGAUUUUAGUGGCUCCAAUAUGGAUAUCGACUAGCCAAAUCCAUACAAAAUAAUACCAAUAUGUAUUGACAUUGAGGUUAGCAUCAAUAUUGGACUUGUACUUCAAACUUCAAAGUAUAUUGGUAUAAGGCUAUAACUAUAAUAGGGUUCAAAUAUUAAUAAACUAAAUGGAGUAAUAGAUAAAAUAGUGACUACUAGCAUGACACUAAUGCAUUUUUUUCAAUUACAAUGAAAUAUUAAGUUAAACAAGUAACUAACAGAAUGAUUAAACCACAUCAUAAAACAUAGAAGAAAUGUCCAAGAUAUAUAUAAUUAACUUGAUAAAAAAACUCUCAUCUGGUGAAAACUUGCAUCUCUUGGAGAAUUGAAGUUGUAAGUGUUGCUCGGCCAAUGUAAUGAUUUAGCUAAGUGUUUACUAGACUUAUGACAAUGAUAUUCUUGCUUUAAAUUGCUUGAUUACUACCCUCUCCCAGCAAGUAUUCCAUUGUUUGCCAAGUAAUUGAUAACAGAAAUCCAUUUAUACAAAAUCUACAUAUCUAGUAAGCAAGCAGUUAUUGACAAUAAUCUAAAAAGAGAUAUACAUGAACACUGACAUUAGUUCUGUACAAUGCCUUAUCAUAUCUUGUGCUGUUGUUACUUGAUAGUACAAUUAAGAUCCGAGUGAACUUUAAGAAUUUGAUAUUGCAUCAACCUUGAAGCUUAAGCAUUACAGAUAGAAGAUACAGUUAAUUUUUUUUUGUAUAUUGUAACCAUAAAAGAUCAACUAGCUUGAUGAUUACUUGAUCUUUUUACUGUAUUACAAUUAGUAGACAUUACCACAGUUAGAAAUUCAUUUCUUUAAUUCAGACAAAAGCUAUAUAAUAUGUUAAGGCCAGGAAGACACUGGAAGCUGGAAGGAAAAGAGUAUGUGAUUAAAAAAAAGAAGAAAAUAGGAGACUGAAUAAAUCAAGUAUCCAAGACUACUGUUGAGUUUCCUGGCUAAUGGAUCAUCAUUAAACAUUUAAAGUUUUAAACUAUCACAUCUAUGGGGUUGAGAACAUUAUACUCAAAUCAAACUAUCAGUUAAAACUUUUACACAAGCCACAGAUUAGCAUAAACAACUUCAAAGAGCAGGAUAUCACAGUAAAAAAGGAACAUAAGUGUAGGAAAAAUAAAAUCUUAAUACAAGAGUACAGGACACAUAAAGUAAAGGGAAUUAGUGUAAAAAAAACAUUUAUCUGUAUUGAUGAGUAGUUACCUUUUAGAAAAUCACAUAAUGUUGCAAUCCAGAGGUUAACAGCACAAUUUGGAAAAUGCAGAAACAAUGACAUGAGGAGGAAUACAACCAGAGGCAAACUAUGAAGUCCCACGGACAAAUUCCUUGAGUAAUAUAUCUGAAACACAGCAUACAAGAAAAUGUUGUUUACUUUGUGUAGUUAGAGGCAAGAAAAAAACUUGGAUUUGUUAUCCCCUUCAUUGAGGUGGAUGAUCAAGCAUGAGUACUAUGCUAAUUUUGUAAUAACUGGCUGCAGAACAAAUACUGUAGAACUGGAUACCAUGAACCAAGAUAGGUAAUCAAAGAAAACAGCACGGUCCUCCAUGGUUCCGUGAGGUGCAACUUUUAGAGAUCUUUCACCAGCAUUUAGCAGCAAAGAAGAAUUUGCAAAUGCCUUAGUCAACCUGAACAAAUUCUCGCCACGUGCUUGGAUGCUUCCAGGUCUGAUAUAUGAAAGCUUUAGGUUUUUAAAUCACAAUAAUGCAUAUUAAAUUCUAGUAAUAGUUAUAGAAUUCUUAAUAGACAAUAAUUGAUGCAUACAAUAGCCUUUCCACGGUGUCGUAAGAGGUAUGAUAAAAGUAACCCCCCAGAACAAAGAUAAUAUCCAGUCCUGGAAUGUUGCCAUAAUCUUCAGCAAAUAUUCUGUAAUCUGUAUCACCAGGGAUAAUGCCAAACAUAUCCUGUUUGUACAACGUAAUUGAGUUACCAACCACACGUGAUAUAAGUGUAUGUAUAAUAAUAAUCUCAAAACUUAAAGGACAUAAACAUGAAGACAAACCAAAAGCUCUUCUAAGUUCCAAGAAACAUAAUAAAGUAAGUAGUUCAGCAUACAUAAACAAAAGAAAGUUACUUUUUUGCCUUGAACCCUCAUAGUUUAGGUCUUAAGUUAACACCUUAUGUUUACCCCAACUAUAUGUCUGGACAAAAACUGCAAAGCUAUCAUAAUAUGAAUUAUGUGAGGUAUAGUAUGAAGCAGCAUAUAUCAUGUCACCUUAAAUCAAGGAAUGAGAUUUCACCAGGACCGAUAUGUACCGGCUGAUAUUUGCUGAUACAACAUGGAUCUGCAUGUGAACCAUCCAAUUCCAAGCAACCCAUAUGCGGUAUAGGAAUUACCGCCCGGUAAAUACUCUAAAUCAGGCAUACUGUCCAGUUCUUUUUCUAAAAAAACUAUGUUAAAAAACUCUAAAAACCCCUUAACCACCAACCCUCACACCUCUCUAGUGUGAAAAUAUCACACUGCCUGUCACCUCCUUUUACAAUGUCCACUGUCAUGCUGCCUGCUAAUGACCAUGUAUGUCAUCUCCUCCUCAACCUCCUAUGUCGCUGCCUUUGUUGCCAUCUCCUCCUCAACCUGCUAUUUCGCUGCCUCUUCCUCCUCUCUCCUCUCCUCUUCUUGAUGUUCUCCUCCUCUUUCUCUUCUUCCUUUCCUCCUCUUCCUUCUGGUACUGUGGUACAUACCAACAUAUCAUGCAAUGGUACACUGGUUAAUAUUGGGUACAUGCCAGUCCGACCAGUGAUCAACAAGGUCAGAUACCCGAAAUUGCAAUCCUUUCCUUCAAAUUUGAAUAUGUAUGGAACAGAAUUCUUGCAGACUUGUAUCCCAUCGCCACCUCUUCUUCUCCACCACCACCUCCCCUCCUCUUCUUCUCCACCACCACCUCCCCUCCUCUUCUUCUCCACUGCCACCUCCACUUCUUCUCUUCCUUGCUUCCCCCUUCUUUGUAACAUGGUAUGUUCCAGGGUAAGUGUGUUGGUACAAGACAGACCAGACCUGUAUCAGUACAGCCAAGGACCAGCUUGGGUCUGAUAGCCAAAAUAAAGGUACACUUUAAAUCUUGUUGAAAAAAAGAAGAAAUGUGGAUCAAAUUCAGCUAAGUUCAACAAAAUAGUUUCUCUAAAUGAACUUAAAACAUAUUGGCUAACAAGGAUAGAGGAAAACAUAACCUGUGCUACACUAUUUGCCAUUGGAUAUUUUGCUGAUUGAGCAUAGACAUGGGCAGGCCAGGAUCCAGGUCCAGAUUGACAAACCAAAUCUGAUCAUUAGGAAAAAAAAAAGUUAAUCAACCUUCAAAAAAAUAUUGUUUUAGAGAUAAACCUCAAGUAACCUCAUGUCAAAUGCUUGGUUAUUCAACAAUCUAGUUUUACAAAAUUUUGUUAUGCUCACAACUUAUACAAGUUACUUCAAGAAACAUAAUGAUAUACAAGUAAAAAUUUCUUUUCCAUGUAAAGAAAUAUCAAGGCUAAGAUCUUACAGAAAGUAUAAAAUGAAUGAAACACUUGCAUCCAGCUUCUACAUCACUUCAUAGUUCAUGUCCAUACGAAUGGAAUACUUGUAUCCAGCCUCUAGAUCACUUGAUAAUUCAAGUUCAAACAAAUGGACUACUUACAUCCAACUUCUAGAUGAAAAAUUCCAAACAUAGCCUGACUACCUCAGGUUUAUUAACAUUCAAACAAGAAUUGAAAUAUCGUACUGUACCGGAGUUUUGACCUUCUCUCGGUAUGGUACUGUAUACCAAACGGUAUACCGUUCAGUUUACUUAUAUAUAUAUAUAUAUAUAUAUAUAUAUAUAUAUAUAUAUAUAUAUAUAUAUAUAUAUAUAUAUAUAUAUAUAUAUAUAUAUAAGUAAAAAAAAAAUUCGAUGACGUCGCCUCCCUUCUCCCCCAAGCGAGGCGACGUUGUCUCUCUUCUCCCCAAACGAGGAGACGUCGCCUCUAUAUAUAUAUAUAUAUAUAACAAUGUGCGACGUCACCUCUCUUCUCCCCAGGCAGGGCGACAUCGCAGAAAAACAAGGCUACGUCACAUAUAUAUAUAUAUAUAUAUAUAUAUAUAUAUAUAUAUAUAUAUAUAUAUAUAUAUAUAUGUACCACCCGGUAGCGAGCGGUCCGCGUACCGGUUUACUGUUGGACCGAUGCGUACCACCCGUACCGGGCGGCAUCAUUCGAAACUAUAUACCUUGCAUUCAAAUAUGAUCGAACUAGGAAAAAAUUGGAGCAUUCAGUUUGCCAACAACCUAGAAAUAUUGGUUGGCUAUAUCUAUAAGUUAAUUACUUUAGGUGAAAGAAAUCAGACGGCAGAAUUCAAAAUUUAUACGCAAACGCAGAUAGUGAAUGAUAAAGAAGCCAUAAAAAAAUUAAAGAAAAGAGCUUUGGAAGCAUACCAUAAGACUAAAUGGAGAAAAAAGGUUAUAACUGAAGUUAGUUAGAAUUUCAAAAAGGUAAAGAUGUGAAGCAUCCUUACUGAAUAAAUGAAGCAUGGAGAUUUUUACAUCUUUAAUGCCCAUAAUUUAGCUGGGUGAAAAAAAUUAUCAAGGUAGGAAUUCUAAACAGCAACAACAGAAUCCACCAGAUGUAACUUGUAUGCAAUUACAGUAUAGAACACACGGGAUGUUGAUCUGGAAGAGACAUUUGUGCAUCUACAAAAUUUUCUCAUUAUUACCAUGCAUAUAUUGUAUCAUGGUACAAUCAGAAUCUCAUUCAUAUGAUCUUAAUUUGUUUGGACAUAAAGGUUUACUCAACAUCCCUGCAAGACCUGGUACAACAUUGUGCUAAAAUGCAUUUUUCAGAAAACCAGCUUACUUCAGAAUUUACAGUCAAGGAGACCAUGUAAAAUAAAUAUAUUUUAACUGUAAAGUUAAAAUAUAAAAAGAUGUUAGCAUUGAAGGCUUCAAUCCAACAAAGAGAAAAAUGUUAGUGUUCGAGCUUAGAUUCAAACAAAAAUAAUCAUACCAAAACCACCAGUUCCAGAUGCUUCAAUGUUGAUAAAAGCCCCAACUGUGUUGCUCCAUUUAUGUGUCUUGACAAAACCAUGAGAACCCUGGGAUUUAUGAGCAAAAUUUACAGGUCAGAGUACAUAAAUUGUUGAGGAAUGCAGAAAGUAUUCUCAUAAGGUAACAAAAAACUAAAUGUUUUGGACAUUGUACUCAUGCAACAGAUGCAGAAAAAAAUUCAUGUCCAGAAUUCAGAUAUACAAUUAUGGGUUACACUGUUACAGAAUAGAGCAAUUUCAGUUCAAUGAAGGAAAUUUAGCUUCUAAAAUGUAAAAGGAACUAUGACUUCUCAGUUAUUUUAAUAUGCAUUUUGUACAAAAUUUCAAAUUUACAGUAUGAAAAGCAUAAUUGCAUACUAAGAACACCUUUUUGCUUUAGACAGCCAAUCAGAAGUGUUUUUUUUCGCUUGCAUAAAGAGUGUAAAUAUGAAUGCAGGAAGCAAGAAGGAACUCAGAAAUAUCGGAUAAGGAAGUGCCAAAGAAGAAUAUCUGUGUCACUGUAUAUUCUAAUAGAUUAUUGCUGUAGACAGCCAAUCAGAAGUGCUUUUUCGCUUGCCUAAACAGUGUAAAUAUGAUUGCAGGAAACAAGAAGGUACUCCUAGAAAAUAUCAGAUAUGGAAGUGCCAAAGAAGAAUAUCUGCAUCACUGAAUAUUUUAAUGGAUUAUUUAAGUGUCUCAUAAGCAACAGGAUGUUGCCAAAAUAAAAUAAAAUAAUCAGCAAGCUCAUAUUAGAUUGAUAAUGCCAAUUAUGAUAUGAGCAAUUAUUGCUAGUAUGGACACUAUCAAAUAUUGGAAGCAUCAAAGAACUAGAUGGAAUAAAAUAUUUAUGAGCAUGUCUACAAGGUAGAAUAUGCUUCCUGUUUUGAACAGGAACCCAUAGCAAUCCACGAUGAAUUGCACAGUUGAAAGAUCUAAAACCUAAAGAUGCUCAUGUGUCCUAAAUAGGGGCAGGAGAUCAAUGUAAAUGCAACCCAUAUUAUCUUACAAUGCAGAAAGACAGAAAGCACAAGUAGAUAAUUGUGAUGAAUAAGCAAAUAUAAAGCAAGCGACCUUAUUCCUUUUAUCAGAUGAAUAUAUAAAACAGCAAUUGCCGCAUCUAACUUCUUUCACUUUUUUCUAUUUGAUUUUUGUUAACAUAGCCAUCAGCUUGUGUUUAAGCCCUUGUCUGGGAAUGUUGUUUCAUUUUGGAAUAAAAACAAUUAGUUAAGAAGGAUUAAAAAUCACAAUUCAUUACUGACACUGGUCAAUGACUGAACCUAUUUGGUACAGUAUCAUAUGGCGUAUGAGUGUUGGUACAGUUCAGUACCAUCUGGACUACUACAAGAGAAACAUUUAUAUAGAGAGACAGAGAAAGGCAGAGACAGACACAGAGGUGCAGUGGAGAAAAGGGAAGAAGAGGCAACUGCAAUGGAGGAAGAGAAACAGAGGAGGAGGAGGAGACUCUCGGAACUGGGGGUGGGUAUCCACAUGAGAGGGAAUGGGAGCCAGUUGUCGAGGGGGACAGACAGUUGUCAAUAAGGGAGAAGGGGGAAGGGUGGGUGAUAGUUUCCAGGGAGAACGGGGCUGUCAACAGGAGAGAGGAGCUAUCAACAGCCUGUUGACAACUAUCCAGGGGUGGUUUAUUAAAAAAAAAAAAUGGGACUCAGGUGGUAGUGGUUUAUUAAAAAAAAAUUUGGGACUCAGGUGGUAGGCUUACCAGCUGAUAAGCCUAAUAUGUGAGAUUACUGAGCAGUAAACUUUGUUUCAGAGUGGACACCAUGAAAUUGCCUCCAUUUCAUAUCAGUUGGCCUUCGUGCUUGUAAGAAUAGAUUCACACACUGACGGUGCAAAUUGAAACCUUUGUGUUGGCUAAAAGAACUUGGAAAUAUGAUACUUUAGAAGAUAUAAAACUGUCUAAAAGCAAGCACCUGUAUUGUCAUUCUUACCUAACAUUCUGUCUCGUGGCAGUUAUAUGAAAAAUGAGAUUUUUAUAUCCAGCAAAUUUAAUGUAUGUGUAGGUGGUGGCAGAGGACAGUGCUAAACAUUUAGGUGAGACAAAAAUGACAGAAAAAUGAAAAUAUAUUGUUCCUCUAUGAAGAUUUUGCAUCAAAAGAAACAACACAACUUUUGAAAAAGGCUUCUUAAAAAUUGAAGGUACAAUAGGUUCAGAGAUGCAUACAGAAGCUGCUCUUGCAAAAAGUUAGUACUGUAAGAGAACUAAGGAAGCAGAAGACUGUCAAAAAGUCAUAAGUCAUUUUUAUGCAUAGCUUGAGCAGAGAGUUGUUCUUGCAAAAAGUUAGUCCUUGAAGAGAAAAAUGAAGCAGCAAACUACCUUAAUGCUUUAAAUGGUAUUGAGCAUGUUUGCACAUACUAUAAACUAUAAAGUAUAAAGUAUAAAGUAUAAUCCAAAACAUGACACAUAUCACUUUUGGAUUCAUAAGAAACAUAAAAGACCUAUGAAAGACUUUUGGAUUGAUAAGAAAUAUUGAAAACCUGUCAAAGACUGCCUAUUAAUAUUUCGUAACAGAAUAAGGUCCACAUGUAAUAGUCGGCGUUCAAGUUGGUUAUGCACAUUUCUAAAAUGAAAAAGUUGGUAAUCCAAGUAUGCUCAGGUGAUCGGUGUAAUUGAAAUGAGGCGAAGAAUAGUCUAUUUCCUAAAAUAAUUGUAGUUUGUUACCAAAAGAAAGAGUUCUUCUGCACCAUUGAAAAGAAAGAUAAUAGGUUGAGGUGGAAUCCAGCCAGAGUCAACAAUUAAUCGUGCUAACUCAAGCAUUGAUGCUGAAAAGAAAGACAAAACAAAUAAGAAAAGCAUAAACAAUCAAUAGCAUAAUUUAAAAUGUCAGCAAUCAAUAUAACAUGACUCACCAACACAAGAACCACAGUCACCUGCACCAGGAGAGCCAAGUGGGCUAUCAAAAUGUCCAUUUACCAAAAUAGAUGGAUCACGAUCAUUUGACAAUUUUGACGAAAUCCUGUGAUUUAGUUUAAUUCAGUUAGAAGCAGCAUAUCUGAGACUAUAAAGUACACAAAGAUCAAAGAAAAUUAUAAUUAUGGCAACCUUAAUUGAAUUGCUUUAACAUGUGUGUACAAGCACCCUUAGUCAUCAUGGGUAUUUUUAUUAUUUUUUUGCUCCAUAGUGUGUGAUGCCUCAACAAUCUCACAUCAUAAAAGAGAUGAAUAUUAUACAUGAACUUGAAUGCCUGCUAUCUUUAUCAUUAUUAUUAUUAUGAGAAGAGUAGAUAUUUUAAUUUUAUGUGAUCCACUGAGUGAGGCCUGCCCCAUAACAUCAUCAGGCCAAGUGAUCAUUUCAGAUAGAUAGCAAUGGAAUUAAAACAUUUUUGUGGCUUCUCUUUGUAAUGCAGUGAACCAAGUAGAUAUUCAAGUUAUAUUUCUUCUCAACUUGAUCAGGGGACUGGGGAGCAGAACUACCAAAUAAUGUGCACUAACAGCACAUUUGAAGGCCAUGGUUCCACAUGAGAAACUCCGUGAAGGAUUCCCAAAUACAUCUAAUGCCUAUAUAAGAAUGUCAAUUAUUUGACUUGAGACCCAAAUAAAAGAACUUGAAGCCAUAACUAGUGACUACUUGGCCGUAACUAUUUUAGCCAUUAAGUUAAGGCUCACUUCAUAUAUGUUAUUGGGUUGAAUCAUGCACAAAAAUCUGCAUGGGCCAACACAUUUAGACUUAAAACCAUCAGCAAAACAACAGAGCUUCAGUCAAAACCCAAAACAAACUCAUGUCAUGCAGAUUUUAGAACUCCAUAGAGCUUAAGCUAGCCCAUCGUUUUAAGACAGAUGGGUUUAAGCCUGAAACAUUAGGCUUUGUACCAUUGUUUUCUCUUUUCCUCAAAUUUUUGGCAUGUACAAGAAACAAAGGCAUGCUGACCAGGACAACACGGAAUCUUGACAUGACAAAAUGGUACCAGUAUGUUCCCAUGCCACAAAAUGGCAAUCCUUGGCUGCGACUGCUGUUAGUGAUUAAAGUUGCCCAUCAAAGGAUAGCACUUGGCUUUCUAAUGCAAUCAAAAUCAUACCAUGUCCCUGUCCUUGUCUUUUCUUUUUCUCUUAGAAGUAUUUUUUCUGCUCUCUCUUUAUCUCCUUUUUCCCUUAUGUUUCCCCUCCUUUCGCUUCUGCUCUUAUCCACACAUAAGUGAAAAACAACAUUAUUGUUUGAACUUCUAACCAAGUUCUCCUUUCUCCAUUUUCCUCCUCUUGGGCUUUCAAAUUAUAUUUUCUUUUCAUUUUUGUUCUUUUAACCCCUUCUCACUGUCCAUCCCUUUCUUUCACUUGUAUCUUUAAAUUUGUAUUUCUCUUAUUGUUAUCUUCUAUAAUCUUCAAUAGAGUUUGAGUAAGGUUUGCACAGUAUGUGGCAAAAAAUUGACUAGAUAUUUGUCAAAAACUCUUGGAACUGUAACAUCAUUGAAAAAGAAACUUGCAAUUGUCCUAACAAAAGUUGGCUUAACAAGACAUUAUGCUCAAUUAAAUCAUCACUUCAUGGACAAACUUUUUUCCUAACUAAAACUGAUCUUUUCAAGUCCAGAGAAUAUCAUGGAAGUCGAGAAAAGUCCUUUGCCUAAAAUAUGUAAAAGCUUACACAGAUUUCGUAGUAAUCAGAAACACUGUCUAAGUGUCUAUUUCACCAUUUUACAGUGGCAUCCACUAAUCAAAUUUCAAAAUUCAUGAACAUAAAAUUAGGAAGCUGCACAGAUGCACAUACAUUCAUUCUAUUUUAGCAAAAUUGCCUGUAUUCCCUUACUGAAGUUCUUAACUGUAAACUUGCCAAUUAAAAUUAGGAAUAUUAACUAUUGAAAAGAUAAUUCUAUUAUACGAAUGGUUUAUAGGAUAAUUACGAAAGCUAUGACAUCCAAACUUCUUUGAAAUAUACACCUUACUUUGACCACAACAAUCCAAACAUUUAUCUUUGGGACUUCAUAGUUUGCCAGUGAUUGUAUUCCUCCUUGUGCCAUUGUUUCUGCAUUUUCCAAAUUGCACUGUCACUUCUGUAUUGCAAUAUUGUGGGAUUCUGUGAAAGGUUUUUUUUCAUUAAUACAGAUAAGUUCCCUAUUUUUCAACAGAUAAUUUUUUUUCUUCAACACCAAUUUACCUUUAUUUUAUCCUGCCUUGCAGAUCUUGUACUAGGAAUUUAUUUUUCCUAUACUGUUCUUUUUUUUUGUAUUGUUGUGCACUUUGAAGUUGUUUAUUUAUGCUAAUCUGCAGCUGGUGUAAAAUUAAUCAAUAGUUCAAUUUGAGUACAAUUCUCAAUCACAUAGAUGUAUUCAUGUGUUCUCAAAUCUCAACCCCUUAGAUGUGAUAGUUUAAUGCAAGGUUUGAAAUUUCAUACCAUACCGAUGUCUCGAGCUUUGCUCGGUAUGGUACGGUACAUCAUACCGAGCGGUACGCCAGAGCAUACCGAGCGAUACGUGUAUAUAUAUAUAUAUAAUUAAUAUAUAAAAACUAUAAAAAAUAUUAAUUUUUAUAUAAAAAUAUAAAAAUCAAUAAAUAAAAAUAUUUUUAAAAAAGGCGUACGUAGCCUCAACGACAUCGCCUCCUCCUCUUCUCCUCGUCGCCUCGUCUGCGGCAUUCGGCGAAGACGUCGAAGACCGUAGACGUCUCAGACCUUCAGCGAAGAAGAAAGUCGUAGAGUCACAGACGAGGCAAUGAAGGAGACCGCCUCUUCCGCUGCUCUAGCCACCGCCUCCUCCGAUCCCCGCACCUCCAGAUCCUCCUCUUUACGAUUCUCCUCGUCAUUGCCUCCUGGAUUGGGGUCGUCGAGGGAGGGCGGCGUCGGAUCGGGAUCGAGAAAGGGCGUGGAAACAAGUUUGCGCCAAGGUUCUCCCGAUUCUCCCUCUUCUUCGAACGCCCUCUCCUUCUUCUUCCUUCUUCGACGCUUCUCCCUUAGCCUCACCGCAGCCAGGCCGUUAUAUCGAGUGGACCGCCCGGUAUGGGCGGUACGAUUCGAAAUUGCAAACCUUGGUUUAAUGAUGAUCCUUUUGCUAGGAAGUUCAGCAGUAGUCUUGGAACCUUGAUUUAUUCAGUUGUGUCUAUUCUUUAACAUUUUUGAAACUCAUCCUCUUUUCCUUCCAGCUUCCUGUGUCUUCCUGGCCUGACAUAUUAUAUAACUUUUGGAGGAAUUAAAGAAAUGAAUUUCUAACUGCAGUGAUGUCCACUAAUAGUAAUAUAGAAAGAAAGAGCAAGUAAUCAUCGAGCCAGUUGAUAUUUUAUGGGUACAAAAUACAAAAGUUCUACAUUGCUUAAAUUUCAAGAUUGAUGUGCUCUCAAGAAUACUUAACAGUUCCCUCAAAUCUUAAUUGUGGUACCAAGUAACACCAGCACACGAUAUGCUAAGGCAUUGUCCAGACUCCAUAAACUAAUGUCAAGGUUCAUGUACAUCUCUUUUAGGUCAUUUUGAAUAAUUUCUUGCAUAUGAGGUAUAUAGGAUUAUCAAUUUUGUAUAAAUAGAUUUCAGUUAUCAAUUACAUGCCAAACUAUGGAAUACCCAUCAUAAGUUUAUUAUGGCUGAGAAAUACUUCUAUAGCUCUAUGCCUCUAUAUUGUCCAAGAGAUGCACAAGUUCCAUAAUUAGGCUUUUCAUCAACUUCAUUACAUAUAUCUUGAAGACUUGAACAAUUCCUCUACUUUAUGAUAUGGUCCAACCAUUCUGGUAGUUACCUCUUUCACUUAACAUUUCAUUUCUAAUUGAAAAAAGUUCUGACAAUGUAGUCCUACUAGUCACUAUUGUUUCUAUUACACCAUUUAUUUUAUUACUAUUUGAACCCUGUUAGACUGAUAUGUGGCAUCCCCAAUAAAGGAUCAAUAAUUGUCAGUUUGACCAAUUAAGAAGUAGAAUGGGAAAGGGGUUCAGAACUUGGAGAAAAAUGAUACAAAUAUCAGAUGGAUUUUAAUGGUAAGUGUGAUUCAGAGUGUACUAAAAGAAAUCUCCAAGAGUAAAAUGCACGGAAUUGAAACAAGGAACAGUUGGUGGUAGCGCGAAGAGGUAUAAAAAUUGAUGCAAAAACAAUGCUUCUAAAUUUUGACAGUACUAUAAAAAUGAUAAGUAUUUUAUAGGAUAUAUUAUAAUAUAAAAGGUGGUUGAAAAAUGGAAAUAUGGCUAAACAUAAGGCUUACGAUAGGAUUUUGAUAGGUUGGCACUAAAGCCAAAGAAAGGAGGUUUAGUGAUUUAGGUAACACUAGAUGUAUUAGGUACAGGACUGGAUAGUGCUUGUUAUGGUUAGGUGAAGAUAGAGAGAUUAUUUUCAUAAGUGACUUAAUAAAGCCACUAUAAAUUUAGUAUCAAAAAUUAAACAAAGUAUAAAAAUCAUAAUUUUUUUUUCUCAUAUAAAAAUAGAGAAGUGACGUAAUUUAUUAACUAGUAAAGAAUCUAAAUGCAUCCCAUUGAUCUAGAUGAUUAGUACAAAUAGAAAAUUGAUUACUGAUUAGAGAAGUUCUUUAGCUCUGAUAUAUAAGGGAAAUAUUCAUUGCUGAAAAAUUAUACAGAAGUUAUACUAAUGAGCCAUGCUAUAGAACUUAGGGAGAAGGUGAUUGAACAAAGACCACAUAUGAGAUGAGUAUUAGUCAUAUUCAACAUACAAUUCAACGUUGAAUGCACAAAUAUGUAGUCUUACCAUCUGCAAAUCCCUUGAUAGAAAAAACAAAAAAAAAGCAGUUAUUACCAUCUUAUACAUGUCAAUCCUGACUAUGUAGUCUCCAAGACAUGUCAUCUAAGUCCUAAAAGUUACAUAAGCAGCAACCCCAAGUGGGUGAAGAUAAUGCACAACAUGCACGAACAAACUACCAGAAAAGUAUUUAUAAUAAAGCAAGUAAUUACCAUUAUCAAGAUAUGAGAUAAAGAAAGCUGGAAGUACCUCAUAACUACAUUUUUAUGAUUCCUGUAACCAAGAGAUAUGCUAUGCCGUAAAAAUAACAUAUUGAAAGUACCAUUGACAAGUGACUCCUCAACCUCUAUUCUGCAGAUUAAAAACAUAAGAAAUUUGUAAACUCGACAAGUAUGUACAAAAACAGCAGGUACUGCAUCAUGCCUUCCAGCAAUGUCAAAUUGUGCAUGAACAUGGACAUUGAUCAACCCAAAAAUAAUUAGUUAUUCAUUUGACUUAGUAAGUUUCAAACAGAUAAAACGAUCAUCUUUAAAGUAAAAUCCAUUAAUUUUUAGCAUUAAUUGGCCAAUGAUCCAAGAAUUUUUUUUGUGUCCUUACUUGUGUGGAACAUUGAAGUCAUAUCCAGUCAGAAGACUCAGAACUAUGGAUGUCUAGCUUUCGGAUUUCCACUAAUAUGUUACAACAUCUGACAAAUAAUGAACUUCUUAAUUAAACGAACAAUGUUCCACUUCUUCAAAAUCACAUAUUUCUUCUAAAAGCUCAUAAUGGAAAACCAAAGGACUUGCUGAUGCACACUAAUUUUUUUAGCUCAUUAAUUUUGAGGGCAUUUGAUAUUACACCUUAUGGUAGUCCUCACAUAAAGCCCUGAAAUGUUGCAAAUUCCAAGUAAUUUCCUAUAAAUCUACAUUUAACAUGUUGAGAUAUCAUAUGUCAACUUUUUUCAGGAGAGAAUUUAAAAAAAGAAGAGCAUCAAGGGAACUUGGCAGGGAAGUUUCAAAACACAAGUUAGUUAUCCUUGCAGAUCCUUUCUUUUCCAUAAAAAAAUCCAUACAAUAGUCAUGUAAAUGUAUUACCCACAACGCUAGGUGCGGCCUAAAGCUCAAAAUUUAAGCAACUAAUAAUCUAAUUGUUAUCUUACAUUGUUUUAUCGAAAGUGAUAGAGACUUUCCUUGUCCAAAAUACAAGUUUUAACAAAAAAAAAAAGUUCAACUGUAGUCCCAGGGCACUGAUCAUUUGGUCAUGCUUGGCUUUGGCUGAACUUAAUAACAUAUUAACUGCUUUAGCAUUUAUAGUCUUCAACUCCUCGUAAUACUUCGCUAGGAAGGAAUAGCAGUAGCGACUAACAUGAUACUAUCUUUGAUCAAAUAGUGGCACAUGAUAGAUGGAGAAUGGUUGAACAUUCAUUGCAAGUUGGGGAAAUCCAUGAGAAAACCAUCUUUAAAAAAGGAUCAUAGCAAAGAAAUAUAUUUCCACAAUCAAGAAUCUUUAAAGAAGGGAAAGACUUACUUCAAUAUGGCAUGAUUGACAACUUGCAUUGUCUGUGCAUAAUUAGUGCCAGCUAGAGAUCACCAUGUUUCUUUUCUGCCUUGCUUAUUUUUAUAUUUUACUUGUAGCUGUAUUCUUAUAUAAUAUGAAGAGACUUUAAAACUUGAACAUGGAUGAACAUUUCCUACUAUUUAUAUAAGUUCUUUUGCAGUCAUAGUCUCUUUUGAGCAAGUCCGAAAAACUUAAGAGUGAGUUCAAAGUGAUCCUUCCCCAGUCUGUUUCUAUUCAUCAUCUGUACCCUCCACCUCCUUUUACAAGCACCAAACCCACAAUAUCACUCCUACAAAUUGUGCCCUCUAAACACAAAUCAGAUAAACCUGUUCAUUUUCAAGUUCUUGCACCUUUUUUUGUUGACCAAUGUCAUAUCCUACAUUUGAAAACUAAUAAAAACCAAAUUUCUUCAUAAAUUAAUAUUUGAUACAAACCACAAAAACUAUAAAAAUCAGUACCAGUUUGGUUAGCCAAUCCCACAAUGAAUCAUCUAGCUUAAGUUUAGUAUGCAUCUUUUACCUCCCCUGAGGUGGACCUGAAGCUUAAUUUCAAAGCUAAUCAACAUAGUAGCACCAAUAUGGUUGCAUUCACCUGAUCCGAUACCUAAGCACUCGAAAUAUCAAUAAUCAGCUGGGCUAGGCCUAAAUCAACUAUAUCUAGAUCAAACUCAAUCAGAAAUUGUUCAGAAAAUGCUGUGUGUGACUGAUCCCAAUCGAUCAGGUCAUUUUUGACCAACCCCUACUAUGUAUUGUUGAUUUCCUGUCCAAUUCAGGCGAUGCUUCGGUUUCUGACCCGGCUAACUUGGACUCAAUCAAUUGGGUUCUGACUGAUCCAUUCUGAUUUUGUACCAACUUUUUGUUGAUCAAUUUGAAUAAAUCUGAUUCCACAAUCCAAUCUGACUGUUCCAACAAGAUCCAAAUUCAAAAUUCUGGUUUUGUCACAAUUUGAGUCCUGAUUCCCAUCUUGUCAAACAAAAACUAUAAGCAAAAAAACUAGUAACUUACCAAUGGUUUAAAACUUAGCAGUCCUAUUAACAGACACCUAGACAAGAGCUAAUAGUAUAAUGGAAAUUUUCAAUCACUUAAAUCAAUCCUUAAAAAUGGGUAGCGGAAUGAUCAAAUCCUCAAUAAUGAAAAAUUGCAGUACACUACUAAACCAUCAAAACUCAAAAGUUUGAAUAUCUGAGUUAAGAUUUAUAUUUGAUGUAUCUACCACAUACAAUAGAAAAAAAGUAAUUAAAGACAAGUAAUCCAGCUGGUGCAUGGAAGAAAAAGCUGUAUAUGCUAUAUACUAUUCCAAGUUCCCUUUUUUAAUACCACCUUUAACUUUCCACUUUAGAAAUAUAUUGUGGCAACAACUGUCCAUCUUAGCUGUUUGUUUUCUGGACCAGUUAUCAGCCUCCAAAUAUUUUAUCAUAAUUUUUAUAUAGACAUAUUCCAUGACCUCUGAGCAUAAUUUCUCAAGCCUUCUAUUUAAGUGUGGACAAUGUGUUCUCAGUUCAUAUGGACAGCGUAUAGUGUGAAAUGCCAUCUAUAUUGCAAGUAUCGAAUAAUUUCAAUUAUUACCAAGCAAACAAGGUAUUGAAAAUAAAUUGGCUUUUCUUUCAGGAAAUAAUACGAUUUUGUGAAAAUAAAUCUGGCUUUUUCUUUCAGGCAUGUUAAUUCAUUCGAUCUAAAGUUUGUUUAAAAUCCAAUAAAAGAUGAAGAUGCAAAAUAGGGCAGAACAGAGAAAAACAAGAGCUGAGCUUGAUCACACCUAUAGCCCACUACACCACUGGAUGUACAUUUCUAGACUCUAACGUGUGGUAUAUAUUUCAGUACAACAACCAGCAACAACAGGUGGCUGUAAUAAUCAAGCAAGGAAAAAACCCAUGCGAAGGAUCCAGCUGCAAAGUUAGUUGAAAAUUACUCAGAAGCAUAAGCGGGAUGUACAGUUUUAUGCUUCUAACUACAUUCAAUGUGUCACAGACCAUGUGAUAAACUUAAAGCCUUCAUCGGAAUCCUAAACAGCAUGCUAACAAGCUGCAAACUAACUCGCUUUAAUUUCUGACAGUAAGUGUUUUCAGAAAAGUUCUCUCACUAAUUAAGUAACAAUUGAGCUAUAAAAAAGGUCACAUCACCAGCAUACUUCAUCCUUGGCUAAUUAAUUGUGGAGCCGAUGAGGUAAAAACGGUAAUUGGUUGUCGACAAGAAACAGAAGGUAAAGACAAAGAAUUGCCACUUGAUUCAAUAUUUUACAUCACGUAAACAGAUUUAGAUUUUCGAACCCAUAAAGUCACCUGUAAUCGGGUCCUGCCCGUGACGCUAUAGUCUCCAACUCCUUCCUUAUAUACUUCGCUGCCUCUUCCAAUCCCGGAUGACCCUCCUGCAAUCCAAAUAUCAUGAAGAACCCAAUUUCAUCACCCAAACCAAUCGGAAACGACGAACUCCCCGAUCCACUCACCUGGCGCCCAUCAAUCUCGACCGUGAGCUGCCGGAUGUGCUCGACGACCCUCGCCUCCGAGAAGCGAUCCGAAGGCGCGUCGAGGCCGAGGGGAGCGACGUGCUUCAUGUGGAUGAUCCAAUAGGUGAUGCAGGACAUGAUCCCGAACAUGAGAGCGAGCAAGAACAAGCACUUGAACGCAGCCACAUCCCGCGAUCCCCACCCCAUCACUCUCGGCUAUAGAAAUUUGGGGCGAACGAAGAGAAAACCCUAGAGAGGAACACGAAUCGAAAGGAGAGAGAGAGGAAGGCGUAGAGGAGAUCUUGGAUUUAUUCCUCCGCCGCGCCCAAGAUUGGAGAAACCAACGGCUCGCGUAUUAUACUUUCCCCUCGUGAGGGGUAAAAGAAAUUAGCGCACCAACUCAUUAAAUAAUCGCGAAUCAAGAUCCACAAGUAAAAUUACGUACAUGUCCUUAUGCACACGAAAAAGUAUGUGUAUGCCCAUAUAAAUUCCAAUGUAGCGUGCGUCUGCCGUUGGUAUUCCCCAUUAAACCUUAGGUCAACGGUCAACCAUUACCAACUAUAAUUCUAUUUUACUGGAUAUAAAUAUAUAUAUAUGUUGUUUAAUAUUUAUUUUUUAUUUUUUAUAUUUAUAAAAUCUUUAUUAAGGAUACUAAUGGAACAAGUUGAGCUAUUCUCAUCCCUCAUCUCCCAUCCCAAUAUUUUUCUUUAAUUAUCUUUUUAAGAAAAUAUAAUAAUAAUAUCAUAUUUGCAAAGUUUAUACAUCACAAUAAUAUUCAAAUAUAAAUAUAUUAAAAUUAAUAUUUUACUCAAUUUUCAUACUCACAUAUCUGUGUACUACAAAAAUAACAUAACAUGUUAAGUAUCUAACAAUAUUAUUAAAAGAAAUCAUAUUAUUAAAUUUAAAAAUAUACAUCAGUUAUAUCACAAUAAUAUUUAUCUUCUUUAAAGAUGUGUAACAUUUCAAAAUAAUAUUUAUUUAUUAUAUAAAUAAAAUUUAUUAAUAAUUAAUAUUAAAUAAAAAUUAGAAUAUUUUCACUCAACUUGAAGUUCUUACCGUAAAUUUUCAUGGUCUUCGAACUUCUACUAAAAUAUUUUUUUUUUUUUUAAAUUUUAAAUAUAUUAAAAAAUUUAAGCAUAAUAUUGAUUUACUGAUUAAUAUUGAAAUAUUAGAAUCAUAAAUAUUGAGUUUAAUUCUCAAAUAUAUAUAUAUAUAUUAUCAUUAAUAAAUAUGAUAUGAUAAUAUAAAUGUGGCACGGAAUUCUCUAUCUAUGCCCUCGUUGGCGCAAAUAAUAGAAAAUGCUAUUAUCAUCAAUGGAAAAAUAUGUUAAAAUAAACUAAUUUUUUAAUAGAGCAAUAAAUCAAUCAUAAAAGAUUAAAUAUUUAACGUGAAAAACCUAAUAUGAAAAAAUCACAGGACCAUAGUCCACUUCAAACUUCUACUAUCAAUAGUAAUGAUAACAUGUUUAUAGUAAAUCUUCUCUAGAAUAACUAUAACAUCAAAAACAUAAAUCUUAACUCAAAAACAUAUCAUUAUCAAAAAAAUUCUAGAUCUCACAAAAAUAAAUAUAGCAUAAAAGUAUUUCAGAGACGGUAAAUCGUAGAUUAACACUAUUAGGAUUAUAGAGUUUACUAUAAAAAAUUUUCGUAUAAAAUUUGGAUUAAAAUCGAUAACAUUUGGCUACUAUCAUCAAACAGAAAUCUGAAGAUACUAAUCUCUCUCUCCUUUUUCUCUCUCUUUCCUCUCGCUGUGCACUACCGUCGUUCUCUGCAUACACGCACGCCGCCACAGUUCGCAGCGCGCUCUCUGCCUUCUCCCUCACCGUGCACCGCCGCUGCUCGUUGCGCAUGCACAAGACUCUUCACUGCACCGAUUGCCCUCGUUCGCUGCUUUCUUUUUUAAUUAUUAAUUUGGACCCAACAAUCCAUCCAUUUAAGUCUCGUUCGAAAACUUAAUUGAUCAUAUAUAAUGAUUUUAGAACGUCCAUUGCGUGGUAAUGGGUUGUAUUAAUUGCUUAUUCAACCAUUUGGACCGAUUACUGCACUUAUUAAUUGCGUUUGUCAUUGUCAUAAAUGAAUUAGGAGCCUCUCGUAUGACUUUCGAUAACUAAUAAUUAGUUGGGUCUAGAAAUUUCGGUACUAUAUAAGUUAUGACCGUCAAAUAGAAAACAUUGAUAGUGAUGUUAUUUUCUAUCAUUAAUGAUAAAUUCUUGGAAUCAGAUACGGUCUUCACCACUUCAUAAAUAAAAACUAUCUAUUUAUUUUUAUAGAUGGGAAAUUAAAUACUCUUUUUUAGAUUUUCUUAAAUGGUAUUCUAUUUUCAAAAUUCUCAAAUCACAAAUGUUCUGUAUAAAUUAUUAUUUAUAUAUAACUCUUGAACUAGCAAUUUUCACGUUUGCAUGUGGUGAGGGAUUUUAUGUAUUUAUUUUUAUUUUAUUUUUUUAUUAAUAUUCGUUAAGGAUAUAUUUAUAUAUAUAAAGGGAUAUAUUUUGCUAUAUUAGAAUUUAGAGGGACUAAUAUGUUAGCCUCCCUCCCAUAACCUUUCCAUCGGAGCAGAAACAGAAGGACGAUCGGUAAGUCAAUUCAUGGAUGCUGAAAACGUAGGGGACGGCCACACCUUCUUUUACAUGCGAAAGCAAGCUAUGGUGGAUUAUGGCGGCAGCAAUCGUUGACUCUGACGUCCGUUUUGUAUGAACAUCUCACGAGUUGGUAAGUCAAUAUUGUUUCAGUCCAAUAUAUAUUUAUCUUCUUCUUCGACUCUCGCUGGCCAAAUGUGUUCCUCCCAAGAACCAAAGUCUGAGAUCGUCAAAGUAGGAAAGCAGUGGUCUUCGUCAACAACAGCUUCUUGUGAGGGGAUUUGACAACAAGGGCAAUUAACUUGCCGACCAACUGUUCGACGGUGGUUCGAGGCGAGGAAUACUUCGUCGAGUGUGUCGCAUCAGAGCAGAGCAUCGGAUGAUGGUACAAAACUAAACUCCGUUUAGAAAGAUAGUUUAGAUGGGAUCCCAUUGCUCGUUGUCCUUCGGAUCAUUGAUUCGACUCGAAUUGGAUUAAAAUAUUAUAUUAUUUUAUUUUGAGAAACUAGAAUCAAUCGUCCUGAUUUCAAACCGAUUAAAUGAUAGAAAUAAAUAAAAAUAAAUCACAUGUAGAGUUUAUGGUUGAUGCUUAAAUCUUUUAUUUUAAAAUUAAGUAACCUAGUUUCAAAUCGAUUAAAAUUGUAUAAAUUUAUAUUUUUAUGUCAUUACACUUAUUAUAAUUAUACAUCUAUUUUCAAAUUUUAGAAAUACAAUUAUGAAUUUUUAUAUAAUUUUUUAUGUCAUUACACUUGGAUGAUUCAGUUUUGAUGGACAUAUUUAUGUUCGAAUCUUAUUCAAAUUGUAUGAAGACCGAGAUCAAAUUGAUUUCUCGAUAUGGUCCCUUUCAUACUAUACUCGAUUAUCGUGAUCUAAUGACUUUCUACAAUGGGUUUAAUUGAGAAAAUAUUUUAAGGUGAGAUAUGUUUUGAAAAUUCUAUUUUGGAUUAACGUCUACAUGACCCAAUCAUUAACCUAAAUCUAAUCUUUCUAAUUGUGCUACCAUACAUGAUGAGAUGUGAUCGAGAUAAAUGUUUUUUUUAUGAAAAUAUAAAUCAAAAGAGUUUAGAUUGGAUGACAUAUUUAUGUUUGAAAUCUGGUAAAUCGUCAUCGACACAUGAGAUGGAGUGUUCAUGUCUCAUCUAGCAUGUCUCUGCUUGCUUUGUUAUGUGAAAGAAAAUACUCAUUCCUUUGUUUGAAAGCAAUCAACAAGCUCUAAAUUUUCUAAUGAGAACAUUCUUGUAUAUUAAAAUUGUAACCUGAACAACUCUUCAAUCAACAAUCUGCAUGAGUACCUAAUUUAGACUUUGAGUGUAAUUUUUCUAUGUCAAAUUUUAAUAUUAAAAAAUUAAUCAGGAGAGUUUUAGAAUAAAUAAUCAAGAGAGUUUUUUUCAUCAAAAUUUUUUAAGAAAUUUUAUUAUAUUUAAAAAAAUUAUUGAUUGAUAAUCGUUAUCAGAAUUCAAUCAUAUUUAUAAUAUAUUUUUUUAAUUAAAUAUAACUCAUAAUCUAAUUAAAUUUAAUGAGAAAAUUCUUGUAUAUUAAAAAUGUUAUCUGAACAACUCUUUUGAUCAACAACAAUCUGCAUGAGUACCUAAUUUAGACUUUGAGUGCAACUUUUUUGUGUGUGGAAAGCAACAGCUGAGCAUCCAAUCAUUCACCCACCACCAUCAAAAACUACACUUCCUAGUAAAAGUCCAACCAUCAUCCAAUUGCUCUCUUGACCCUGAACAUAAAAAUCAAUAAUAUGUUAUUAUUAUAUAAAAAAUUUUAAUAUCAAAAAAUUAACUUCCUUAUGUGGCUAAAAGGAGAUAAUAAAAUAAAUAUGUAUAAUUUUUUAAUAAUAUCAUGUAUCCAUACAUCGACAUUUAGUUUCCGUAAAAUUUUAUCUAUUUAUAAGCGAGAAUAGAAGUUUUACGGUAAAUAAUUAAGAAAUUUUCUUCCAUAAUCUAAUUAAUUUUUUUAACGAGAACAUUAUUGUAUAUUAAAAAUGUUAUCUGAACAACUCUUUCGAUCACCAACAAUGAGUAACUAAUUUAGACUUUGAGUGCAACUUUUCUCAGCGUGGAAAGGAACAGCUGAGCUUCCCAUCAUUCAUCCACCACCAUCAAACACUGCACUUACCAGCAAAAGUCCAGCCAUCAUCCAAUCGCUCUCUUGACUGACCAAGUUUAGUAGGUGAGGCAAUCUCUUCCCAUUUCUUGUGAGUGGAGGAAGAACACAUGUCGAGCCUACGACAAUUUCACACUGCCUCAAGAGACACUUUGGGCUUAUUAUUUCAUGUGGAGGACAACAUGAGUGUAUAGGAUAGGAUGUAUCACAUAAAUUAUUGUGACGUUGAAGUUUGGUGCUUUUCUUGUGAGAAUUGCAAGAAACUUGAAUAUUUUCAAUGUUCUCAUAUAUUUCAUUUACUAAUUAUAUUUAGUACUAAUCUUUUCAUCUGUUUUAAUAUAUUAUAUAAUUUUAUGGUCAUUAACUAUUUUUUUACCUUUUCCACAAUGCAAAAUUAUUACAAUAUUAGAAUCUCUAUAUCAAAAUAUUCAAUAUUAUUUUUCAAUUUUAUAUACUAUUGAUAUCUUAACUUUGAUUCUUGAAACAUUAAAGUUCUCAAUAUUUGGUACUACAUGAGUUAAUUAUCCAUUACAAUCGGCUCGAGAUAUAAGUUUUAAAAUAACAUAUUGUGCUUUUAAAAUUUUUUUUUUAUCUAUUACGUAUCGUGUUAAUUGGUUUUUAUAUCAAAUUCGAUCUAGUUUUAUUUUACUGUUUCAAUAUUUUUCAUCAAAAAAAUUAUUAUUUUAAUCCAAUAUUGGAAGUGAUUGUGGGAUCAUAUGUACCAACUUACCUCUGCAAUGCCUGACCCUUAGGCAACUGAUAGGACUGUUCUUGCUCACCUCAUCUCAUUACUAUCUCCACCAAUUCAAGUUGGGCAUUCCCAAUUGCCUUGAGGACUAAGAUAAUCCACCAACUGUUUUUUUGGUCUAAAGGAUCAAUAUGAGCAUAUUGUAUCCAUGGCAGACUGAUUCCCAGAUGGUUUAGGAAUUAUAGAGUAAGAACUCUUGAAGAGACCGAUUGCAUGAUGUGUGACACUGAAUAGGUUUAUUGGGAUAAAUAGAGUAGAGAAAAAAGGGAAUUACUAAAGCCUUUCUACAAAAGAUGACUAUUUCGAUUUAUUACGUCUACAUGACGUCUUGUUCAGGAACAGUAACGUCCACGUGACCUCUCACGCGACCGCACCCGGGCCCCACCGCAUCCGUCCCCUCGCCACACACCGCGGAUGGGGUGUCGACACGGGGUGUGAGAAGGAAAUGAGUGUGCGUGAAGGAUCCCACUACCUCCACCCCAAAUCCUCCGCGGGCCCCGCCCAGGCGAAAAAGCGACGGUGGGCGACGCCCCUCGGCUCACUUUUGGGCCCCACCAUCCGUUCCCCGCACAGCGGCUCAACGAACGUCCGAUGCUGUUUAAGAUUCGUGCGGCGGAUCUCAGAUCGGAAUCGAACUUGUUCCCUUCCUAUACGAAACCGAGCCGACGUUAAAUUAUGAUUAUUAUUAGAUGGCGCGAUUAAAGCCACGCCCGUAGGGUCUAAGAAUGCGAUCUACCCCGCACGUUAGACUCAACAGUUGAAUCGAUCGUCCUAUAAGAGAAGGCGGACCGCGGAGGGGGAGGAGGCGGCGCCGAUCCACACAUCUCGAGGAGGAUCUCAUCCAUCCGUUUCGGUGGCACUCCUUGCUGCCACCCUUCGUGGCCUUCGUUGUCUAGGGCUUGGUCUUACUGCCCGGCUCGUGCCUCAAGCUCGGCGACCGGCGGCAUGGGGGCUCUCGACGCGGGAUGCUUCGAGGAGGAGCUCGAGAAUGGGGUCGGGUUGGAGGAGGAUGUGGCGGAGAUCGGGUGGGAAUCGGGGAUGACGGACUCCGAGUCUGAGUCGGCUCGGGCGAUCGAGGACGCCGUGCGGGUCUUGCUGCAGGGCCUUGGGGAGGACCCCGAGCGCGAGGGCCUCCGGAGGACGCCCCAUCGCGUGGCCAAAGCGUUCCGCGAAGGAACCAGAGGUUUGUGCUUGCUUGCUUUUUAUAGAUCUUUCUUUGUCGUCUCGUUUUUCUUAGAUCUGCUCGGUUCUUUUUUAAUAAAGCUUGAUCUUUAGUUUCUCUGUUGUGCAAUGGUGGAUCCUUUAGCUGCCCCUUCGUAGUAUGUGCGACUGACUGGCUGUAGUAAUCGCACCUUUCUCGUUCUUAGCGUGUUCUGUUUGUCUCUUAUACCAUCUUUUGGAGGAAAAGGUGACCUUCUGCUUUGUUUGGUUUAAAUGAUGGAACCAUUAGCUUCAAAUCUGUGGCGUUGCUUAAUUCUCCUGCCAAUACUCGCCCUUUUAGCUCUGUUUUCUUGAGACGAAAGGAAGUGAUCUGAAAAAGUUUCUCAUGCUGCAAGGGGAAGAUAUAGUUCUGAAUUGUUGUGUUGUUUGUUAGCGAUAGAUUCUGUCUUUACAAAAAAAGUUAUGGUCGUAUACGUAUUAUAAACUUUAGCGUUUGGCAAAUCUUCAUUUUUAUAUUUGACCUUUUGCUUUGUUUAAUUCAAUUGAUGAACCUUUAUCGUUAAAUAUGUGGCGACGCUUAUUCAUUACUGCCAUAACUUUCCCUUUAUGUUAAACUUUUGGUUUUUUUUUUAUCUGUGUUUAUUCCUGUUGCUUUGUUUCCUAGAGCAGAAGAGGUGUGAUCUUAGGAAGUUUCUCUCUUUGCACAGUAAAGAUAUAGUUCACUUUAAACAAUCCUACUCUCUUCUGAUGAGCGGAGUUCGCAGCUGCAUAGUUAGGUAAUAAAAUUUUACUUUUUGGGAAAAAAAAGGAUUGUGUGUUGUUUGUUAGCGACAGAUUCUGUCUUUGCAAAAAACCAAAAAGGUUAUGGUCGUAUAUGUAUUACAAACUUCAGCUAUUGGCAAAUCUUCUUUCCAUAUUUGAUCUUUGCUUUGUUUGGUUCGAAAUGAUUCAACCUUUAGCUUUCUAUCUGUGGCGACACUUCCAGGUGAUUUUGGUACUGCCAAAACAUGCUCUUUUGUCUUAAUUCCUGGUGCUCUGUUUUCUGGAGCAGAAAGGUAGUGGUUGCCAAAAUUUCUUACUUUGCACCAAAAAAACGUAGUUCGGGAAUAUUGUGUUGUUUGUUAGAAUAAAGUUAGUCAUAUGAGUACUAUUAACGUAUUGCUUUGGCAAAUGUCCUAUCUAUAUUUUGAAUCUUGAAGUCAGGAUUGCCUUUAUUUAUCAUUCAUGUUAGAUCUCUAAGUUCUUGUCUGCAUCAGUCAUCUUUUUCACUUAUUCAAAUGCUAUAAUUUAUUUAAGAUAAUUUGUGCAUUUAACCAAUUACGAAUGCUAUAUCUUACUCUGGAGUAUGUUCCUUGACAAUAUCAAAACAUAUUUAUUGUCACCUCUCCUGAAAAUCAUUUCAAUUAAUAUUUCUCCAUGUCAGUUGUCUAUGUUUCAAAAUAUAUUGCUUGUUAGUUUAAUUUCCUAAAAAUGUUGAAAAUGCACUUACUUUUGUUUUAUCAAAAAGAAAGUCUUUGCUUAUUGAUAGUCGGUAGAUGUUUCUCAGAUAUCAAUUCUAUCUUUGCCAACAGGAAGAUUUCUAUGCAUUUGAGCUUUAACCUUCAAAACAUAUUGCUCCUGACAGUUGUGUCAUGCUUAGCUACUUCAGUUCCUCACAACUUAUAUAUGACAAACUCGAGGAAGAAUUGAUCAUUGAUCUUGUAGAAAUUUUAAGUCACCUGAGGUCUUUAUUUAGUCUAUUCUAUUUUGUGUUAGGUUACAAACAAAAAGUAAAGGACAUCGUACAAGGUGCCUUGUUUCCAGAAGCCGGAUUGGAGACUGGAACAGGUCAUGCUGGAGGAGCUGGUGGGCUAGUGGUGGUUCGGAACAUCAAUCUGUUCUCAUACUGCGAGUCUUGCUUGCUUCCAUUCAGUAUCCAGUGCCAUGUUGGCUAUGUGCCAUCAGGUCGGCGAGUUGUGGGCCUGAGCAAGCUAUCCCGAGUUGCAGAUGUGUUCUCUAAGAGGCUUCAAGAUCCCCAAAGACUGGCAAAUGAAAUUUGUUCAGCGUUGCACAACAGCAUCAAGCCGGCUGGUGUUGCUGUUGCUCUUCACUGUUGGCACAUCCAGUUUCCUGAAGCCCUCCCGUGUAAUUCCAACUCAACAUACCCAUCCAAAUUGGAUAUGCAAGGGUGGAUACAAGUUUUGGUUUCUUCAAGUUCUGGAGUUUUAAAGGAAGAGAAAAGUUCUUUGUGGGAUGACUUUUUGGCACUUCUGAAGUUAAAAAGCAUAAACAUUGAAAGAGGGGAUACAAACCUUUAUUCUGCUUCUUCUUGGUGUCCAUCACGGGUUCUAGAGACAUCUUUGUGCAAUGGACAUUGUGCAAGGAGCCCCAAAAAUGGUAAGACUUCCAAGACAGGCGUUACACAUGCUUCCAUGAUGGCUGCUGUGGCUUCAAUUCUCCAUUCCCUUGGUGAAGAUCCAUCACGAAAAGAACUUGUGCGCACCCCACACCACUAUGUGCAGUGGCUUAUGAAUUCUAGGAGUUCUAACUUGGACUUGAGACUGAAUGGUCUUAGUAAAGCGAACUCCUGUAACGUGGUAGAUGGAAACUUUACUUGCCUGAACGAGAUCCAGUCUGUGUUGAACAUCCCUUUUUGCUCACAGUGUGAGCACCAUCUCCUGCCAUUCCACGGUGUUGUACACAUAGGAUACUUGGAUAAACAAGAAGGUAAAUGUAUCGAACGAUCUGUUUUGCAGUCAGUGGUUCAUUCCUUUGCUUGCAAGCUCCAAGUGCAAGAGAGACUAACCAGACAGAUAGCAGAAGCAGUUUAUUCAAUCUUCAAUAUUGGAGUAAUUGUUGUCGUGGAAGCUCACCACCUCUGCAUGAUAUCAAGAGGGAUUGAGAAAGUAGGAAGCAACACGGCUACAAUUGCAGUUUUGGGCCAAUUUUCUACUGAUGCAAAAGCCAAGGGUUUGUUUUUGCAGACAAUUGCAGAUAACAAUGCUUCUGAGGGUUAAACAUCUGAAAAUUUGAUCUGACUAUGUUGAUGAUACAUUUUUCCUGUUCAUGAUGAAGUCAAUCAUGAUAGGAAUGAUUCCUGAAUGGAGAUAGAAAUGCAGUUGCAGACAAAGCUGACACUUUUAAGUUCUCUUUUUGGGUUAACUAUUUGGAAAAGCCACCAGUCAGCAUGAAACUGGAGAAAUGGCUUGAAUUCACAUCAUUCCCUGCAUAUUGUUGAAGAAUAAUCAUAAAGAAAAAAUGAUUUUUCCCUUGUAAUAAUCUGGUUUCUGAAACAUUCAUUCAACGGUGUUGUUUAUGGAAGGGAAUAGUUGUACAAGGCAUGGGUAACAUUUACGGUUCUUCUAUAUAUGCCGAUCAUUUUUUCUUUUUUUGCAUCAAGAAAGAUAUUUGUGAUUCAGUGUUUUGGUUGUGGCUUUUCUUGUUUGUAUUUUCAUAUAACUUGGUGUAGAAUUGAUCCUUUGUGAUCAAAAUGUGAGUUUGUUUAUUGUUAGAAGUUGAUUUUUUUUUGUUGUGCUUCAUGGAUUCCUGGCGACUUGGUAGUUAUUGCUGUUGGUACUGUAUUUUGAAGAAAAAGUGAUGUUCUACUUUGUUUUGUUUAAAAGAUGCAACUCUUAGCUUUAAGUUUAUUAUUUGAGCUUAAUUCUUGACAGAUUACAUUUCUGCUGAAACUUACCUGUUUUUGCUAACGUAUAGCAUAUUUAUCUGCUUGUCAAUUCUUAAAACUUCGUUUGCUUGAGCUGAAGCAAAAAGUGAUAUGUAAAGCAAACUUUGGUUAUGGGUUCUUGCUCUGUUCACUGGAGAAAUGUUAUCGAGCCUUGUGUGUUAUCUAAAUGUUUGAGUUCUAGCUGUCAUUUGAUGAUUAUUUUGAACCUUGUUCUUGGGACCUCUUAUCUUUCUCACAUUAGAUCUUCAAUCAGUGGCAUCUUUUUUGGUAAUUUGAGUGCUAUGGUUUCUUUGUUAUGUUUUAUCCUUUUUUGCAAUCAAGUAAUGCUGCAUUCUGCUUCUGAUUAUGUUUCUUGAAAAUAUUUAACAUGCUUUAUGUUCCAUGCUACUACUGUAUUGUUGAUCCCCAAAUGUUUCAUAAUUUUGGAUUACUAACUUGGAUCUCCUCAGAAUUGAAUCAGUUUGUUGUGUCUUCUAUCUCUAUUUUAGUUUAAUAUUUAUCUGUGAAAUAUUUAUUUUAAUAUCUUUUUCUUACAAUUUUCUUCAUUUUUUAUUUCUUUGAAUUAAAAAACAUUGGUUAAGUGAAAGGCAUAUUUAUAACCUGGAACCAAUGGGAUAGUGCCACAUGGCAUUUAAGCAAUUGAUUGCUAAAAGAUGAGCAAUUUUUUUAAAAAAAUCUAAGUUUUUAUUUAUUUAUUCUUACAUAGUAUCUCUUAUUUUUUAAGAAACGAUAUUACAUUGACCUUCAUUUUUGCGUGAUUACUUUCGCUUCGUUGUCCUUAUAUUUGCUUGCCUACUAUACCCUUAUUCUUGUUCGUUGUUAUCAAUGCAUUGCUAAGGCUCGGCCUCUUCUUCAUCAUUUUUGUCAUCGACCUCAACAAUAGAGAGAAAGGAGGUAGUCACGAUGAGACUUUCCCUCCCUCCUCUCCCAUAUGGCCCAUUGCAUCGAGCAUUGCCCACGCCUCCUUCCCAAGCUAAUCUGUUCUCAUAAUUAAGCAAUGAUAAGAGGUGAAAGCGACCAUCGCAACAAGUGGAUGAAGUAGUGAAGGGCAUCACAACUAUCAUCAUUAUAAAGGAGGAGGGAGGUGAGGGCAUAAUAAUAAUUAACGAUGUAAAGGAGGAUGCGAUCAACGAUAGAACGACAUGUGCAAAGCUCAGAGGGGCAUAGUUGGAAUUACCAAAAGCCAAUGCAACAACACUAGCAAGAAAAGUUCGGACGAACAAGGAUAUGAUAACAACAAACGAAGAGUGAAAGCGACGAUACGAAGAGACCCUCUAUAGAAAAAAAAAAAAAGUAAAACUUUGAGAUUUUUCGAGAAUUUAUCGAAAGAUAAUUUUAUAAAUAAGAAAAAAAUAAAUAAUAAAAACGUUGAUAGGAAAAGUCAUAUUUAUAAUUUAAUUCUACCAACGGGAUAAUACCACGUGGCAUUGGAGGGGGCGGUUGAAAAAAUUCCUAAAAAAGAAAGAAAAAUACAAAAACAUUGAUCGACGGAGAGGCAUCAUUCAUAACCUAAUCCGACCAACGUGAUAGUGCCACGUGGUAAGAAAAAGAAAAUCUAAAACAAAGGAAGAAAACAAAUCGAACUAAAGCCGGCCGUCAAACUGUUGUAUACUCAAAAGACGGAGAGAUCGGAGGAGGAAAGAGAGAGAUACUUCAAAUCCUACCGUGAGACUACCAACCUGCGCACGGUGGAGGGGAAUUCGAGUUCUCCCACCGAAACAUCUGUUCCUGUUGCAAUGCCGAACUUGGAAGGAAAGAACUGAAGCUGAGGACGAUCAAUCAAGCCGGCAAAGCCUUCGAAGAGGUGGCGCUUUAAUUGAUAUUUUAGGGCCAUGUGCAGUCGGUGGCUUCCAAACCCCUCAUCUUCUUCCACCUCCAACGCGCAUACCGCAACAGUCCCAACUCUGAUCGACUUAUCUGAGGCAUGCAUGUGUGGCAGCGUGGACUUCCCACGUUGGCAUCGACGAAGCCCAUCGUCUCUCCACCGACAAAACAAGGUCACAAAGAUGCCUUCAAGUCUCCUCCUUUCCCCCUGUAUCCGGUGGUGUGUCCCAUGCCAACUCCUCGUAGUUUGGCGUCACCUGACUUCCUUUGAUUCUCCCCUUUUUUGCUGUCCUUCGAUUCACAUUGUCUUCCUCGGUUACACAAACCUAGAUGUUAAUAGUAAUUUAUCUGUGAUGGUAACUUGCAAGGUUCUUGAAUCAUACUCAUGAUUAAAACCACUGAACUUUGGUUUGCAGACCAAUUUAGUGAAGCUGCUGUAGUAUGCUCAGCUCUCUAAUGCCUUCGGUGCUGAACUGUUCAGAAAUAUCAGAAGAUUAAUCAGGCACCAACUGGGAGUGGUUUGAAACACUUGCUUCCUGGUCAAGUAAUUUAUGAGGGAGAUUAAUUGAAGUGCAGGAAAGAUGAUAGAUUACGUGGUUGUGUCAAAGAUGCCUUGUACUGCAAUUGCAGGAUUUUUAGAAUUGGUACAGCCAUGGGCAGACCAGACGAGGAUAUCCAGGAGCUGUCAGAGCCUAAAAAAGUUGUCUUCUCCUAGCUUUAGGUCUUAUCAUCAUUGAUCCUUCACACUUGAGGUCUGCAGUAUCAGUUUUGUUGUGUGUCAGGUACAGUAUUUAUGUAGCAGAGUGUAAUUUACUCGCCAAGCUUUAGACAGAUGGAAUCAGAUAAAACGCACCAAAACAAGGAAGAAGGGGACUUCUGGGAGAGUCAUAUUCAAUGCGAAGUAGUGAGGUGGUGGAAUCGGCCAUGUUGAUAAGCCCUUGGAAAGGGGCAGGAAACUACAGUGGCUAACAAGUCCAUGUCAACCAAUCGAGCGAGUCACACAAUGACAGUGAAUCCAAUAAAUGCUGCCUCUCCUCUCAAGGCAACUGUCCCAUCGGUUUGUGUUGGGAGAGUGCCAAUUCCAACACUGGUGAAGUGGCUGGAAACUUGGAGUGUCACUCGCCACUGAGCAAAGACCUGAAGAAAGUUGAACUGCAGUCAAAGAUACGCCUUCUCCUCCUUUCGGCUUGCUAUCUAUCUUCGAUCUGUUGUUUCUCGUAAGAGUCUGUUUGCCGGCAUCCACUGUAAGCAGCCACGCUGCUCCCUCUCCAUCUCGGAUGGUCCGGUGAAGACUGUCAUUCUCGUUGCAUUCCGAGUUCCAAGGAGGAAGGAGCAGAGUAACAGCAAUGGCGAAACGGACAGCGAACUCACGCGGGUGGCACUACGCGGCGAGGCAUGUGACUUCCAGACCACGCCACACCCUGCCAUCUCAGCUGUUGUACUGAAGCAGCGAUCUCCAUAGGCUUCCUGUGGCUUUCACCUGCACGAAAUUUGAGUCGGAUGGGUAGAGCAGAGCUUUAAGAUUGGUAAAAGAUAUGCGCAUCAACGGUAGGACUGAGCCAUGUCGAAUUGAGGAAGAUCCUGUUGUGACCAAUCAGAUUCCAAGUCAAGAGAAUCCAAAUGAUCCAUUUGAAUCCAUCAUUUUAAUGACGAGUUUAUAUUGUGUGAUAUUUGUAUAUAUAUAUAUAUAUAUCAUUUACCAUGUUGGGUAAUAGUAGUAGUAAAUAAUGGAGGAGUUGAUCAUACACAUGCAAAUGCUCAGGCUAAGGAGAAAGAAGGCAGCGGAAAAGAAAAGGAAAGCAAGUGGCAUCCAACCGACACCUCUCUCUCUCUCUCUCUCAGACAGUCUCACUCUCUCAUCAGCUCACUUGGUUCUUUUAUAUCUCUCUAUCUCCCUUCUUCCAUCUGCAAAUCCCAUCUCAGAGAGAGAGAGAGAGAGAGAGAGAAAUCAUCAGUAUCUUUGUAGCGCUGGAUCACCACCUUCAGCAUUGCUAUUAAUAUUACAAGAUGGCUUCUCCGCCGGACACAAGCAAGGCGUCCAAGCUGGAGCGCUACAACAGUUACCUACGCCGCCGGGUCAGCAGCGCCAAGCUCAUCGCUGCCUCAUCCUACAUCCUCUUCCGCGCCACCCUCCUUGCUGCUCUUCUCCUUAUCUUCCUCUUCCUCCUCCACAGCCCACCUCUCCUCUUCUCCGGCUCCCA